CCGCCGCCGCUGCCGGCGACUCCGCUGUACCCAACUGGGUGAUGCUGGAGCGCUUGGCCUUCCGGAGGGACGACCCCGCCUCCUUCCGCGAGGACAGGAGGACCUUCGCUUCCGGCACCACCUCCACCGGCACUCAAUUCGACGUCUCCUUCAUCCUCGCCGAGCCUCCCACCCCCUCGCGCCUCUACCUCUCGUGGCCGGAAGGGCCCAAGCAGGAGAGCCGGGGCCUGGUCAUGGCGGCCAACCGCAACCUCGUCCUCCUCAGGCUCGACUCCCUCAUCGACGAAUCCGAUCCUUUCGGGGAGGUAGUGCAUGAUUACUUCAUCUACAUAGCUGAUCCCUCCUCACAGUGGACACCCCUGCUCAGACGGCUGCCCCCCUGCACCGAGUACGACGAUUAUUUUGAGAGGCAAGUUACUCGCGUUUUGCCGGCGCUGGCUGUUGGUCUGUUGUGCCAUGGCGAAGACGAGUUUGCCGUGGCGCAUCUGGACAUCAGGUCUCGCAAAAAAAAAUCAGGGUCUCGCAAAAAAAAAUUACCUAUCCAAGCUGAGCUAUGCGUGCUACGCUCGUCAUUGUCCUGCAGUGAUGAUGCCAAAUGGGAGACCAAGAUCCUUCCGAUACAGUACCAAUACGAUGAUUUAUCCUCUGAUUUUCUGUACUGGUCAGUGGAUGGUGUAGUUCCCUUCAAGAAUGCCUUGUGCUUUGUUAACUACUGUAGAGGCAUCCUUUUCUGCGACGGCGUCUUUGAAGACAGCCCCAAGGUCUCCUACAUCCGCUUGCCUCUGGAUACUUAUAUCCGAGGGGCUGAUGGCGAAGCACGCAAGGGGAUGUACCAUGGCUUGUGUGUCACUGAAGGUGGCCAUCGGUUGGUAUUUGUUGAUGUUGCCCGUCAUGAUGGAAAAUCUUAUGGCCCGAGCAUGCCCAACACUGGUUUCACCCUCACCUCCCGGACAUUUAAGAUGACAGGGAAUUGCACCACGCCGUGGCAGUGGAAUGAGGAUGCUGUUGUCACUUCAGAUGAACUAUGGCAUGCAAACACCAUGGAGAGUCUCCCUCAUGACAUUGUGAUGCUCCCAUUGCUGAGUAUGGAUAAGGCCAAUGUUGCGCACCUUUCAUUGAUUGACUGGGAUGGUGGAUUCUCAUUAGUUUCCAUCGACUUGAGUAACAUGCAAGUGAUGGGCCCAGUCAUUACAUACCUCAAAGGGAAGGAUGAUACUGCUGAUGCUGACAUCGUCGAGGAAAAGAAAGGAUUAGGUGCACACUUUAUUCCAUCCGAAUUCCCCAAGUUCCUGGAUCUCAGGUAACUUCAGCGUUGCCUCCCACUUUUACUUGAGCACAAUUUUUUUUCAUGCAGCCUUUUGCUCUCUUUUUUUCAGCAGUUAAGGUUUCUGCCAUGUUAUUCUUGAAACCUUUGAGGAAUCAACAGAAUGUGCUGGUUGCUGGGAGUAAUAUGGAUCAAUGUUUUCAAGUCUUUAUGUUGAGUCUAGUCGCUGGGGUACCAACUAGAUGGCUAAUCGUGACUAGGCAACGAUUAAAUGGCGAUUAGCUAUGAGACCAGUCGAUCCACCCUUGCCUAUAGUAGAGAAUGAUAGAGUAUAACACAAAGGUGACGAACUGAUCUCUUGGUUUGAGCCCAACACAUAAUUGUUUUUUUUGGAUUCUUCAAUCUGAAAGUGCAUAAUAGCGUGCCAGCGUUGUGCUUUGUUUCCUUCACUAUUUUGAUUCUACAUGUCAAAUUAUUGAAAGGUUUUGUUCAGUUACCAACAACAUGGAUCCUUAGAAGUAGGUGGCACCCAGCGAAUCAGCAUCAUAUCGAAGAACCCCUAGGUCUUCUAAACAAACCGGCUGGAAUUGUGGAAAUCAAUUAAACUUAAUUAUAUCCAUAGUGCCUUCCUUGUAUAUCAUGUUUCAUUCAGCCAGUAGUAACCUCAGCAACUUGACGGUCUUGGGAAAUUAGGCAAUGGUAGUCUGCCUGAGGUUAAUAUAGGCCCUUUUUGUAUCCGCUUAUUUCCUGCUUAUCAAUGGAAAUAAGCGAUAAGCCCACCCAAAUGCCUAGCUUAUUUCCCGCUUACCUCCCAAGCCGCUUAGCCCACAAUCUGGAAAACAACUAGCGUCCCGCUUAUUCUCUAUGCGGUCUUGGGGCCGCUUCUUGGGCAAGCGAAGCGCUUUUUCCUGAUACCCUCACCCGUCCGCUGCCUGCCGCCCUCCGACCGUCGUCGGCUCCGUCCGCCGCCCGCCUGCCUCCAUCGCUUCCCUGCACAAAUCCCAUCCAGAUCCCGUUGCCAUCAGUCACCAGCACUCCUGCCCAGAUCCCGUCGCCGCCGGUUCCGUUCGCUGCCCGCCGCCGGCCGACCCUACGCUUGGCCCCCUGUGCUUGGCCUCCGGCCGGCCCUGCUGUUCUUUUUUGUGAAGGAGGUGGCGGAGUGCUGGCCGUCUACUGCUGAGUGUUGGUCGUGAGCAGCAUUUGAGCUCGCCGUGCGUGCUGCCGUUGUUGUUGAGAAGGAGCUAGAUAUGGGUGCAUUGCGUCAUGUUAUUGCUGUCGCUAUGGUUCGUGAUUCGUUGUUGUACUCAUGAUGGAUGUUUCCAUACUAGACCGUUCUGUCAUAUGAAUUUCAUAUUAUUGUAAUGAAAUUUCUAUUUAACAAACUCCAAAAAUAUUGGAAUUAUUAUCUUCUCCUCAGAUUCACAAUAAAAAUGAGCUAUUAUCAGCCUCAGGGGCAUUCAGGUCAAUUUACUAGCCAGGACAGACAAUCGACACAAAAUAAUCAGGAUUGCCAAACACCCAGCUUAUACAGACAGCGGAUUCUCCAGACAGCAGGCAGGCUUUUAAGAUAAGCCUGCUUGCCAGAUAAGCGAGUUCAGAAAAACGUAUACAAACAGGACCAUAAAUGUUUCACAGCUUAUUCUGUUGCCUAACUGUUGCUUGUCACGUUGAUCCCAAAAUCGACCAUAAGCUAAGUUAUUUUUUCUUAAUGACGUCCGAGGCACCUGAGAAUCUUUUAUAAUUCUUGGUAACCAUGGAUACUAUCAAAAUAACUUCAGCAAUGGGUGAAUCUAAGACUAUGGGAAGCCUAAAUUUCGAUUUGUACAGAUUAUCUCUGCUGAAAAAAAUUAUUGAAAUCAUCAGCAUGUGUUGUAGCUGACAAUUAUUGUUUCCUAUUUGUAUUGAUGAAGUUCUUGCUACUGUAUUGCAGGAAGAGAGAGAAUCAUCCAUAAGUCCUGUCACCAUAUCGGCUGGCCACCGUCGUCAUGUGUGUUGCUUCUUCAUUUUCCAGUUCUGUUGUGCUGGAUUCUACUGCCGACUUUGUUGAUUGGCUACUACAAUUCUGAGUUUAGUCCUCAGCUUUUGUGUGUUCCCUGCACUUGUGUACUAUAAAUAGCCAGGAAAAACACCUUUACCCGGCUCAUCCGUUGAACUAUAUGAUAAUGCUAGAUGAUGUGUCCAUGCCUUACUAACGUCUUCUACAUGCCAUGCGAGUUAAAAAUCCUGCAAUCAUGUUUCGUGGUAGCAGUUUACCUUUGCACAAUGAAACUCCUCACUAAACCACAGUUCAAUUUGAGGGACUACUGCGUUGUUUUUACAGGGAUCUAAUGCCAUCAAUCAAAUUGUAAAAUACAGACAGGUACGCGUGGAAUGGACACUUGUGUUCAUUCAGAUUUUUGUGAUAUUUCAUACCUAAUGAUUACCAGGUUGUCACGCCCCUACAUGCAAAAUUGGUCUACGAGAUGGAAUAUAAGCUCAAAAGGACGUGAGAGCUGUAUUAUCAUGUAGCUCAUGACCUGGCAGAAGUGAAUAGUUGCACGAAAUACAACAUUGCAAACAAGGUUUUUAUUCAUUUUCUCUGCUGAUGGCACAUGGUAGCAGAAGCAGUGCCACCAAUUGGUGAAAGAUUUUCAGUAAACUGAGUGUUUGACAGAACAAUAUGAUGCCACCAAAGCAAUCUGCAUGAGUUCUCUACCUCCGGAAGUCCAGAUGGUUGCUCUGUUUCAUUCCUCACCAUGGUCAUGGCAGGGCGUGAUGGCACCCCCCCCCUCCCUAGGCGGGGCGCGGAGGCUGCAGGUUCAACUCAGAGUUUAGACCUUAACUUGUUCGUGAGCAAUGCAGAAUGCUACAAAUGUAAUACAGUGGGCAUGCAUGAUGCUGAAACAAACUAGUGCAACUUUUAGUGGAACAAUUGAUGAAUUAUGAUGUGUUGUCCAAGUAAAGGAUCGGUGGUGUUGUUUUGCUGAUCUUUUAGCAAAAAUCUAGUGAUAGUGUGUGGAUAUAUAUCCUAAGUUCCUAAUAACUCAUAGAUGAACAAUGAAUGCUAUAUUGAAUUGAAGCCAUGUUUGUUCUAUUCAAAAUGCAGGGAGCAUGCUCGAGCGGGCUUGGGGGGUCAUGGAGGGUCUGCUAAUGCUGGCACAAAGCCAGACUGGUUCCUUGAAGGGUGAGUAAUUAAUAUCUUUGAUUCAUCUAAGCAGUGCAAAAGUGAUGUGCUUAAUGCCUUGGACAAUGAAGCACCAGCUACUUCUAUGUUUUUUCCACCAAGAUUAGCUCAUGAUUUUGUCACUUUUUCCCACAACCUGCAAGUUUUGAAGCACUUUACUUUUGCCAUGUUAGCCAAAAUUUGGAGACAAGUACAAAGAGUAAGGAUAACCAACUCAUUUCUAGUAUUGGAGCAUCAAAAUCUAGUUCUGGAGCAUCAAAAAGGUAAUACACAGAUCUUAAAAAAUUGGUCAUACUGCUAUUGCUAUUUUGUUGCUACUGUUAUUUUGUUGUCUUUUGUUCAAAUCUAGUUCUAGCAUACACAUGUCAAUAUCAGAUUCAAAUGAACCUCCGCCUACUGCUGCUCCAGUCAAGGCAAAGAGCAAAAGGAAAAAGGAGCCUACUAAAAUGAAAACCACCAUUUCUAUACUGCCACUUGACAGCCCUACAAUGGGCCAAAAAACAAAAGGGUGGAUCCUGCUAGCCCUGCAAUGAGCACAAGGAGCAAAAGAAGGCUCAACCUGUGAUCCUUAUGAAUCUAUAAAUUUGGACUCCGCCAUGAAUCUUUUUAUAUAUCAACCUUUGUGUGUGAACUUGCAUGUGAAUUUGAACUCCUAUGUGAACUUGCAUGUAUAUGUGGUGCCGUUCUGUGAGCUGUUGCGAUAAAAGGAGCUAAGCCUCAGAGCGUUUCCUAGGAUCUGAAUGAAUUUUUCCUUCUUUUUUCUGCUGUCCAGAUCUACUUCUGAGGGAGUUGGAUAUAUUCUAAGGUGCUUGCCAGGUGUUCAAGAGAGGAUUCUGCUUGUUUUUCGUGCGUGUAUAAUGGAGCAACAAGUGGAGGAGGCGAACGGAGCAGCGGUGGAGACCUGCCACAGGGUGCUUGCUUUGCAGAAAAAAAUCAGAAAAAAAAGGCAGGCAGUCGCGUGCAUGCUCCCAGCAAGGAAAAUGAGGCAGAAAAAAAACAAAAAAAUGGCAGCUGCAUGCGCCCGCGCGAUCUGCAUGCACCGGCCAGUCUGCAUGCGUCAGGAGAAGAAGACCCACCUGCACACACCCUCCUUCCCACCCGGCCAGGCCCAGACGCAGGAGACAAGAGAUUAAAGAGGAUAAAUCGAAUCAAUAGCCAACUCCUCUCGUCGUCCUCCCCUCCAAAUCGAGGUAUACCCCAAACCCUAGCCAUCCCCAAUCCGGCCGCCGCGUCUACCGAUCCGUUAGAUUCAUGGCCGCCGCCGCUGCCGGCGACUCCGCUGUACCCAACUGGGUGAUGCUGGAGCGCUUGGUCUUCCGGAGGGACGACCCCGCCUCCUUCCGCGAGGACAGGAGGACCUUCGCUUCCGGCACCACCUCCGCCGGCACUCAAUUCGACGUCUCCUUCAUCCUCGCCGAGCCUCCCACCCCCUCGCGCCUCUACCUCUCGUGGCCGGAAGGGCCCAAGCAGGGGAGCCAGGGCCUGGUCAUGGCGGCCAACCGCAACCUCGUCCUCCUCAGGCUCGAGUACCGCGUCGACGAAUCCGUGCAAUUCGGGGAGGUAGUGCAUGAUUACUUCAUCUACAUAGCUGAUCCCUCCUCACAGCGGAAACCCCUGCUCAGACGGCUGCCCCGCUGCACCGAGUACAACGAUUAUUUUGAGAGGCAAGUUACUCGCGCGUUUCCGGUGCUGGCUGUUGGUCUGUUGUGCCAUGGCGAAGACGAGUUUGCCGUGGCGCAUCUGGCCAUCAGGUCUCGCAAAAAAAAAUCAGGGUCUCGCAAAAAAAAAAUCAUCUAUGCAAGCUGAGCUAUGCGUGCUACGCUCGUCAUUGUCCUGCAGUGAUGAUGCCAAAUGGGAGACCAAGGUCUUUCCGCUACAGUACCAAUACGAUGAUUUAUACUAUGAUUUUCUGAACUGGGAAGUGGAUGGUGUAGUUCCCUUCAAGAAUGCCUUGUGCUGGGUUAACUACUGUAGAGGCAUCCUUUUCUGCGACGGCGUCUCUGAAGACAGACCCAAGGUCUCCUACAUCCGCUUGCCUCUGGAUACUUAUUUCCAAGGGACUGAUGCCGAUGGACGCAAGGGGAUGUACCAUGGCUUGUGUGUCACUGAAGGUGGCCAUCGGUUGGUAUUUGUUGAUGUUGCCCGUCAUGAUGGAAAAUGUUAUGGCCCGAGGAUGCCCAACACUGGUUUCACCCUCACCUCCCGGACAUUGAAGAUGACAGGGAAUUGCACCAUGCCGUGGGAGUGGAAUGAGGAUGCUGUUGUCACUUCAGAUGAACUAUGGCAUGCAAACACCAUGGAGAGUCUCCCUCGUGACAUUGUGAUGCUCCCAUUGCUGAGUAUGGAUAAGGCCAAUGUUGCGCACCUUUCAUUGCUUGACUGGGACGGUGGUAGAUUCUCAUUAGUUUCCAUCGACUUGAGUAACAUGCAAGUGAUGGGCCCAGUCAUUACAUACCUCAAAGGGGAGGAUGAUACUGCUGAUGCUGACAUCGUCAAGGCAAAGCAAGGUUUAUGUGCACACUUUAUUCCAUCCGAAUUCCCCAAGUUCCUAGAUCUCAAGUAACUUCAGCGUUGCCUCCCACUUUUACUUGAGCACAAUUUUUUUUCAUGCAGCCUUUUGCUCUCUUUUUUUCAGCAAUUAAGGUUUCUGCCAUGUUAUUCUUGAAACCUUUGAGGAAUCAACAGAAUGUGCUGGUUGCUGGGAGUAAUAUGGAUCAAUGUUUUCAAAUCUUUAUGUUGAGUCUAGUCACUGGGGUACAACUAGAUGGCUAAUCGUGAUUAGGCAACGAUUAAAUUUGCGAUUAGCUCUAAGACCAGUCGAUCCACCCUUGCCUAUAGUAGAGAAUGAUAGAGUAUAACACAAAGGUGACGAACUGAUCUCUUAGUUUGAGCCCAACACAUAAUUGUUCUUUGUGGGUUCUUCAAUCUGAAAGUGCAUAAUAGCGUGCCAGCGUUGUGCUUUGUUUGCUUCACUAUUUUGAUUCUACAUGUCAAAUUAUUGAAAGGUUUUGUUCAGUUACCAACAACAUGGAUCCUUAGAAGUAGGUGGCACCCAGCGAAUCAGCAUCAUAUUGAAGAACCCCUAGGUCUUCUAAACAAACCGGCUGGAAUUGUGGAAAUCAAUUAAACUUAAUUAUAUCCAUAGUGCCUUCCUUGUAUAUCAUGUUUCAUUCUGCCAGUAGUAACCUCAGCAACUCGACGGUCUUCUGCCUGAGGUUAAUAUAGGCCCUUUUUGUAUCCGCUUAUUUCCUGCUUAUCAAUAGAAAUAAGCGAUAAGCCCACCCAAACGCCUAGCUUAUUUCCCGCUUACCUCCCAAGCCGCUUAGCCCACAAUCUGGAAAACAACUAGCGCCCCGCUUAUUCUCUACGCGGUCUUGGGGCCGCUUCUUGGGCAAGCGAAGCGCUUUUUCCUGAUACCCUCACCCGUCCGCUGGCUGCCGCCCUCCGACCGUCGCCGGCUCCGUCCGCCGCCCGCUUGCCUCCAUCGCUUCCCUGCACAAAUCCUGUCCAGAUCCCGUUGCCAUCGGUCACCAGCACUCCUGCCCAGAUCCCGUCGCCGCCGGUUCCGUUCGCUGCCCGCUGCCGGCCGACCCUACGCUUGGCCCCUGUGCUUGGCCUCCGGCCGGCCCUGCUGUUCUUUUUUGUGAAGGAGGUGGCGGAGUGCUGGCCGUCUACUGCUGAGUGUUGGCCGUGAGCAGCAUUUGAGCUCGUCGUGCGUGCUGCCGUUGUUGUUGAGAAGGAGCUAGAUAUGGGUGCAUUGCGUCAUGUUAUUGCUGUCGCUAUGGUUCGUGAUUCGUUGUUGUACUCAUGAUGGAUGUUUCCAUACUAGACCGUUCUAUCAUAUGAAUUUCAUAUUAUUGUAAUGAAAUUUCUAUUUAACAAACUCCAAAAUUAUUGGAAUUAUUAUCUUCUCCUCAGAUUCACAAUAAAAAUGAGCUAUAAAUUCGGAGUACAAGAUAAUUGGAGUCACGUACAACAAUAAGAAGCUAGCAUGCGUGUAUAUGGGCACGGAGUCCAAAUCGGCUUCAUUGGAUUGAUCGGCAAGGAGAGGCAAGGAUGAUAUAAAGGAAUGGCCAGCACGUAUGGAUAAAAAUGAUUAGAAUAUACAACAUGGAUUCUGGUGCACUUUGCAUGCCAUGCGUGGGAUGCUUCCAGAAUAAUUAUGCAUGCGGCCGAUCUGUGCAUGUACGGGAGGUUGUUUCAUAGAAUAAAAUAUUUUAGAGAUAGAGUUGGGUUAGUUAGAGAUAGAGUUUUUUAUUAGAAAAGAUUGUGUACGUGACUUGCCUUGUGCGUGGUUAGAUACCAAUUAUGUAACGUCCGCCCUAUAAAUAUAAAGGGACGUGGCCAUUGUAAAGAAUAAUCACACGAUCAAUAAACAAACAUAUUUACCUUUACCUUUCGGCUCCACGCCAUUGCCCUAGGAGUAGGAGUAAUGUAGUUUCUCGAUGAGUUCCUUCUAGCAAGUUGGGCUGCAUCGACCUCGAUCUCCGGCGAGCUGCAAGUUCUUGUCACCAGGUGUUCUAGGCUUUAACCACCGGGCGCAUCGCUGUGGUUUCGUCUAGUUUCAUCUACCAGUUAUCGAGUAUCUUGGAUCUUUGACUUAUGGCGCAUCGCUUCUGUCUCGAUCUACGGUAUUCGCCAGUUAUCCCGCCUUGAUUAAGCUUGCAUCGGCUGAUAUUUAUCUGUUCUAUCAUCUUGCCAUUUACGACAUAUUAAUUGUUAUUAAUUCUGUCGGAAUAGACGAUAGAUCUAUUUUUAAUAGCCUGUUGCAUCUUAAUCUUGGUUACCCCUUCGAGUGCUGUUGGGAUUAAGUUUCGUUAUGAUUGGAUUCAUCGGCUGGCGGGGUUCAGAUUAACAUCCUGCUAAAUAUUUCUAGACUGCAACUACCGGGCGCAUCGCUGUGGUUUCACCUGGACAUAUUAGCGGUGACGUUACUUUAGAUCUCAUCGGUUUGUGGCUCUAGCUAUGAUGGGACAACAACUCAACAUCAUCUCGUUUCCUAUCGGCCGUCUGGCUGAUGGUUAUUGUAAAUUAUAUUAAAUCGGCUGGAUGGCCGAUGAAUCACUUACAUUCAUCAAGGUACUGGAAUCGGCUUCACAGCUAAUAUAUUUAUCAUGAUUUCUUUUGUUGCACCAUUAUCGCUAUUGUGCCAGGAUUAUAUCGGCCUGAUCGGCCGGUUGCCUCAGACUUCACAAACGACUAUCAUCUCCUUGUCAGUUGAAUGGUCAAACUGACUGGCACGCUCGCGCACACCACGCGCGCCGAUUUGGAUUCUGCACUGGAGUUAAGCAGAUCUCCCAGGUCCUCAUGUGCUGAUGCAGGGUCCACUACCGUCGGGAUCUUGCGUCAACAAUCAGCCUCAGGGGCAUUCAGGUCAAUUUACCAGCCAGGACAGACAAUCGACACAAAAUAAUCAGGAUUGCCAAACACCCAGCUUAUUCAGACAGCGGAUUCUCCAGACAGCAGGCAGGCUUUUAAGAUAUGCCUGCUUGCCAGAUAAGCGAGUUCAGAAAAGCGUAUACAAACAGGACCAUAAAUGUUUCACAGCUUAUUCUGUUGCCUAACUGUUGCUUGUCACGUUGAUCCCAAAAUCGACCAUAAGCUAAGUUAUUUUUUCUUAAUGACGUCCGAGGCAUCUAAGAAUCUUUUAUAAUUCUUGUUAACCAUGGAUACUAUCAAAAUAACUUCAGCAAUGGGUGAAUCUAAGACUAUGAGAAGCCUAAAUUUCGAUUUGUACAGAUUAUCUCUGCUGAAAAAAAUUAUUGAAAUCAUCAGCAUGCGUUGUAGCUGACAAUUAUUGUUUCCUAUUUGUAUUGAUGAAGUUCUUGCUACUGUAUUGCAGGAAGAGAGAGAAUCAUCCAUAAGUCCUGUCACCAUAUCGGCUGGCCACCGUCGUCAUGUGUGUUGCUUCUUCAUUUUCCAGUUCUGUUGUGCUGGAUUCUACUGCCGACUUUGUUGAUUGGCUACUACAAUUCUGAGUUUAGUCCUCAGCUUUUGUGUGUUCCCUGCACUUGUGUACUAUAAAUAGACAGGAAAAACACCUUUACCAGGCUCAUCCGUUGAACUAUAUGAUAAUGCACUAUGGGAAACCUUAAAGUUGCUGAGUGUAAUUACUUCGCCGAGUGUAUUAUUGCGGGCACUCGGCGAAGGACCGGUUUGCCGAGUGCAAUACUCGAAACACUCGGCAAACAUAAUACACUCGGCGAAAACACUAUUUGCCGAGUGCCACCAAAAAAACACUCGGCAAACACCCACGGGGCACUCGGCAAAGAUGGAGCACUUGGCAAAGUGAUGAGCACGUGACUUCCCCGUGCCGCGACGGGCCGGCGCCGUGACGGACGUUAGGCUUUGCCGAGUGUCGACGGGGGGCACUCGGCAAAGCCACUAGUUUGCCGAGUGUCGUGAUGGAACACUCGGCAAACCUAUUACUUUGCCGAGUGUCGUCAUGGGACACUCGGCAAAGUGGCGAGUAUGCCGAGUGCUAGAGGGAACACUCGGCAUACUUUAGGGUUUGCCGAGUGUUUUUCGACACACUCGGCAAAAGUAAUUUUUUUCCCUCCUCCACCCUCCAAACUUUUUACACUCCACAUGUAUGGCAUUUGGCACUGCAUGGUAGAAGGUGGACUAUUUUUUAACCUGUUUGCUAUAUUUAAUCAAUUAAUUUUAUUUAGAGUAAUUUUUUUAUUUAAGUCAAAUUUGAACUGCAGGUGAUUGGAAUAAUGGAAUAAUAUGAGUGGAAAAAUAUAUUCAUGUUAGUGAGUCCAAAUUGAGGUCUCACCCAGAAAAUGAAAAGAAAUUUCGAACAUUUUGCUAAGGAAACACGACUACGAACGUGUGGCCAAAUGAUUGUUUAAUUCUCAAAAAUACAAACGAAGUUUGAAAAUCACGAGAUUUUGCAAGAUGCUAUCAUUUCAUAUGCAGAGGCUGUGGUAAAAAAUUAACAAGAUUUCGCACAAGUUUUGACAUAUGAUGUUUAGAAUUCGAAGCAUCUCCGGAGAGGAUUCGUAGAAGUUGGAAGGAUCCGGUAAGAUUUUGAGACGAAUCGAUACAUGUAUUUCUCAUUGAGUCCCAUUUUUUUUAUAGGCUAUAGAGAACAUAGAUUGGUUCAUGUCAAAUUUUGGGAAUUUUUCAGAUCCGUUUGGUAAUUUUUAUUCAUUAAUUGCACAAAUUUAAUAGAUAUAAAUUUAAUAUGAGCUAUAAAUCCAUGAAAUGAUGGAACAAUAUUACUUAAAAAAUGAAAUACGCAAUGUUUAGUGAAUUUGACAAGGUUUUUGCAAACUUUACAUACUUUUAAUUAAUAAAACAAGUUUGACAUGAAAUAAUAGUACCUAUUUGCCGAGUGUCAAGGGAUGGCACUCGGCAAAGAGCCUAUUUGCCGAGUGUCAACCCUGGGACACUCGGCAAAUGUCGCCGCGGUCCACCUGUCAGCCGCACUUUGAAAUCCGAAAAAAAAAAUUAAAAAAAAAAUUGUUUCCCGAGUGCUCCUGAUCUAGCACUCGGCAAAGGCUUUGCCGAGUGCUAGAUCAGGAGCACUCGGCAAAGCGAGUGGCCUAACCACUCUUAGCGCAUCACGCGCCUCACGUGGACAGGCACAGGCACAACACGAACACGCACACGCCCGCGCCCGCCCGGCCCCCCACGCCCGCUCCGCCCGCCUGCGCCCGCUCCGCCGCCGCCCAGCCUCCCGCGCCCGCUCCGCCGCCGCCCAGCCCCCCGCGCCCGCUCCGCCGCCCCGCACCGCCCGGCCGCGCCGCCGCCGCCGCCCCGCGCCGGGAUCCGGGUGCCGGCCGCCGGCCCCCCGGCCUCCCCCGCCCCGCCGCCGGCCGUCCGCGCACGGGCGCGCCCGCCCCCGGCCGCCCGCGCCGGCCCCCCGCGUCCGCUUCGGCCGGCCGCGGCCGCCCCCGUCCGGCCGCCGCACCGUCCCCCGGCCGCCCCUGCUCCUCUAUUCGUGGCCGUCGCCCCUCCGUCACCCCUCCGGUAAGUUUCUAUGCCACUACACAUCAUAAAUUAGAGUAGGCAUGAAAUUAGAAAUUAGAAAUUAAAUGUUGAAAAUACUAGAGAGGUGGUAGGAUGUGGUAGCAUUUAUUUUAGAAAUUAGAGGCAUGGAUUUAGAAAAUUCGAGAAGAAGGAAGAGUGGAAAUCAGAAAAUGUUGAAAAGAAUAGAGGUGUGGUUGGUUGUGGUUGUGGUUGUUGGCCAUCGUGCCAACUCUUUGGUGAGAUUGUGGUUGUCGGCUAUCGUGCCGUUUAUUAUGUUGCAGGUUUUGGAAACCUCCCCGUGCAGGGGAGUUGCUGCCGAAAUUUUGACUUAAACAGUGCUUUGUUUCUUUUGUUGCAGGAGAGGCUUACAAGGACCGUCCUCGACUCGUCACUUUGCAGGAUAGCAAGGUGAGGCAUGCUACACCUCUCUUUCCGUAUAAUGUUCGCAUAUCACGUAACCUAGUUAGGCGUCUCCCGUUCGAAAGAGAUACGGUUGCAAAUAUGCAGAUUUUUGCAUAUCUAUAAUCGUAUCUGUUUCGAAUUGUCCACGUUUUUUGGACAGCCCGAGGAUGUGUAGGUGGGUUUAGUAUCCAUGAUCUAUUUCGGUCCGAGAUAGAGUUUCGGCAGCACCUCCCUGUUGUUCUCCAGAUACACAAUCUCCUAUCAAGGACGUGUAUUUGGAGAAUAGCGGGGAGGUGCUGCUGAAAUUUUAUCUCGGGUCGGAGUAGACCAUGGAUACUAAACCCACCUACACAUCCUCGGGUGGGAUUAGGACCUAUCUUUACCUAGUAGACAAUAUAGGAACGUGUAUAUGCAAUGUGAAUUUUGUAUUACUCAUUUAAAUGGUAGAGGAUGGAGGAUCGUCAGUGGAUGUACACGGGUCGCACUAGUCAGAAUACGUUGACCAAUGAAUGGCUUGACAAGACGGAUGCUUUCUUGGAACGGGCGUUUGCAAGUGUCAAUGGAGCUCGAUCGACUUGGUGUCCGUGCAGCAAAUAUGGAAACAUGCGUCGGCAAACCAAGCUAAACAUGGGCAAACAUCUGGUGAAGAACGGAUUUACGUCAGACUACACCAGGUGGAUCUACCAUGGUGAAUCUGACCGUGGGAGAGAGGAGGUCUUGAGACAACGCAUCGAGGAAUUUGAUGAUGAUGCCGGGGUGGGAGACAUGUUAAAUGACUAUCAUGAAGCACACUUCGAAGAGGCACGUAGGGAGGAGGAGCCAGAGGCUACCGCUAAGGCUUAUUACGAAAUGUUUUCUGCGGCACAGCAACCCCUUCACGGCCAUACCAAGGUUUCUCAGCUAGAUGCCAUUGCACGCCUAAUGGCUGUGAAGUCUCAGUUUAGUUUGAGUCGAGACGCGUUUGAUAUUAUGUUGACAGUUUUUGGAAGCCUACUCCUGGUUGGUCACAUCUUGCCAAAGAGCAUGUAUGAGGCACAGAAACUCCUUCGUGCACUUAAGAUGCCAUACGAGCAUAUACAUGCUUGCUCGAAGGGAUGCAUCUUAUUUAGGAAAGAGUAUGCGGAAGCAAAAUACUGUGUGAAGUGCGAAUCGUCUAGGUUUCUGGAGGUUGACUGUGGUGACAGUCAGAAAAAGCAGCUCGCAAUUCCUGUGAAGGUUCUACGGUAUCUUCCUUUCAUACCGAGGAUCCAACGGCUUUUCAUGACUAAAGAAUCCGCGAAACAGAUGACAUGGCACAAAAAUGGCCGUCGCUAUAAUCCUGAGAAGCUGGUACACCCAUCCGAUGGUGAAGCCUGGAGAAGCUUUGAUGCGAUUUAUCCUGCAAAAGCUCUAGAGGCCCGUAACGUACGCGUUGCGUUGGCAACUGAUGGGUUCAAUCCUUAUGGAAUGGCGGCCGCCCCGUACACCUGUUGACCCAUUUUCGUUAUCCCCCUGAAUCUCCCACCCGGCGUCCUAUUUCAAUGACAUAAUAUAUUCUUGUCGUUGAUAAUUCCAGAGCAUCCGGGGAAUAAUAUGAGUGUGUAUAUGGAGCCUCUGAUUGAUGAUUUGCUCCGUGCUUGGGAGGAAGGGGUAUGGACCUAUGACCGAUCCACAAAGACAAACUUCAAGAUGCAUGUUUGGUACCAGUACUCACUGCAUGACUUGCCGGCAUAUGGGAUUUUCUCCGGAUGGUGUGUUCACGGGAAGUUCCCAUGCCCAGUAUGUAAAGCAUCUUUGAAGUUCAUUUGGUUGUCGAAAGGUGGCAAAUAUUUUUCGUUCGACAAACAUCGACAAUUCCUCCCUCCUGACCAUCCAUUUAGAUGAGACAUCAAAAACUUUACCAAAGAUGUUGUAGUUACAGCCCCCGCACCGCCGAUGAUGACAGGGGCCGCAGUUCGUGCUCAGUUAGACGCUCUUGAGGUCAAUAAUGAAGAAGGUGGUUUUUUGGGAUAUGGCGAGCAACAUGCUUGGACGCAGAAGUCGUGCUUGUGGAAGCUUCCCUAUUUUGAUGAUCUCCUUGUUCCACAUAACAUUGAUGUAAUGCACACGGAAAAAAAUAUCGUCGAGGUAAUUUUUGGUACAAUAAUGGACAUUCCUGACAAGACAAAGGAUAACGUUAAGGCUAGAGUGGAUCAAGCGACAUUGUGCAACAGACCACAGCUAAACAUGGCGCCUCCAAGAGCUGGCAAGUCGUGGAGGAAGCCUAAGGCCGAUUUCGUUCUAACGAGGGCCCAAAGGAGGGAGGUUCUAGAAUGGUUCCAAACAUUAAUGUCCCUGAUGGCUAUGCAGCGAACUUGAAGAGGGGAGUGAAUUUAGCAACUAUACGAAUCAACGGGCUCAAGAGUCAUGAUUACCAUAUAUGGCUUGAGCGCCUACUUCCGGUGAUGGUUCGAGGCUAUGUCCCUGAGCAUGUGUGGCAGGUGCUAGCGGAGUUGAGCAAUUUCUUCCGCCGACUUUGUGCGAAGGAGUUAUCUCAUACCGUGGUUGCAGAAAUGGAAACAAUGGCGCCUGUGUUGCUCUCUAAGUUGGAGAAGAUCUUUCCUCCAGGCUUCUUCAAUCCAAUGCAGCAUAUGAUUCUACACCUCCCGUAUGAAGCACGAAUGGGGGGCCUGUGCAGGGUCGUUGGUGCUACUCAAUUGAGAGAUGUCAAAAGGUUCUUCGAACUAAAUGUAAGAAUAAGUGCAGAAUUGAAGCAUCCAUUGCAGAGGCAUACAUUCUGGAGGAGGUGUCAAACUUCACAUCGAAAUACUACGCUGACAACCUUCCUAGCGUGCAUAAUCCACCUCCUCGUUACAAUGCCAGCGAAGAUGAAUUAAGCUUUAGCAUUUUUCGAGGGCAACUCAGAAGUGCAAGUGGUGCGACCCGCAAGACCCUUAACCAUGAAGAGUGGCGCUCUAUCAUGCUGUAUGUGUUGACCAACCUAUAUGAAGUGGAGCCGUACAUGAUGUAAGUCAUCGACAAACUUGUUUCGAUGUAGUCAUGGUAUCUCUUGCCUAAACGUAUCUUUCUCGUUGCUAUAGGCAAUUUCAUCGUCAAUUCUGGCGUAAAUCAAGGCAACCGUACUCGCAUGAAGCUGAGACUCUUCUUAAAGAGGGUGCGGGAAAUGGAAUGCCCGAUUUCAUUUCUUGGUUCAAACAGAAGGUACAAUUUCAUUUCUUUGAACAUUCUCGUUCUCGUACAUACGAUUAAUAUAACAAACCGCCCUGUUUGAACUUGCAGGGCCGAACCGAUGCGUCUAUGAAUGUCGAGUUGAGACAGGUUGCCGGUGGCUGUGACUAUAGGGUCAGGUCGUUUGCCGGUUAUGACGUCAACGGAUAUAGGUUUCACACAACAAGGCACGAGCAGAGUCGGCCCAAUCGAAGAACCACAAAUACCGGAGUUUUCACGCCAGGCUCCGAUGGGGUCGAGUACUACGGAAGAAUUGAAGAAAUAUACAAACUCACUUUUCAUGGGUGCAAACCUCUUAAUCCAGUUAUAUUCAAAUGCCAUUGGUUUGAUCCAUCUGUCGUGAGACGGGCCCCUAACCUUGGGCUAGUCGAAAUUCGACAGUCAUCCAGGUUACCAGGAGACGAUGUCUAUAUUGUGGCUCAACAAGCCACGCAAGUUUAUUAUUUGUCAUACCCGUGCCAAACCGACAGCCGUCUUAAGGGUUGGGAUGUUGUGUACAAGGUAUCGCCACACGGUAAACUACCUGUACCAAACAAUGAAGAUUACAAUAUAGACCCCGACACGUACGAAGGAGAGUUAUUCCAAGAAGAUGGGCUCGAAGGGAGUUUUGUGAUAGAUUUAACCGAAGCGAUCGGAAUGGAAGUAGACAAUGAGAGGGUUGCUGCAGAGGACGGUGGAGACGAGGUUCAGAAUGUGAAGGACUUAGAAUUACUUCAAUGAUUACAGUUAGCUAAUGACAGUGAUGACGACAUUCCUUCUUCGGAGCACGAGCUUGACUAUAUCGACACGCGUGAUAGUGAUGAUGAGACUUAUGAUCCAGCUAAUCCCGAUCAUGAUGAUUAUUUCUAAUAUAUGUAUGAUUCGUACUAAUUUAGUUAUAAUUUAAUUAUAAUUUGCAUAUCUUUGUAAUUAUGUUUUGUUUACCUAUGCUGACUCGUGUACUCUUUUUAAUUGUAGGUCAUUAAGCAAUGGUGGGCGGUAUGAGGAAGCUCACGUCAAUUUGCGAGAGACUGGCCACGGCAGGGACUGGUUCAGGGUCAGGGUCACGUUCAGGGAGCGGUCGAGGGAGGCGUUAAGGCAGGCCUCGACGUAGGGUUGAGGAGGAGGAGGAGGAGGAGGUGGUGGUGGUCCAGAGGCCUCGAGGGAAGGGUAAAGCGGCGAGGCCCCCGUCGCCUGAACCUGAGGUGGAGGAGGAGGAGGAGGAGGAGGAGGAGGUACCUUCCGCACACGCCUCUGCGGACGAGGAGGCGGAGGAGGAGGAGCAGCAGGAGCAGGAGGGGGACGGGGAGGCAGGGGAUGCCCAGUCCAAGAUAUGGUUGCGAGGUCCCUCAUCCCUUCCGAAGCGGCCGAUACCUGAGCAUUUACGCCCGCUGAUUAAACCGGUUGGGACCAAGUAAGUAACUUUAAAUAUUCUUAAUAUUGUUAUUAUGUUGAAAGUUACAAAAACUAAUAAUUCAUAUUAAUGACUUGUGCAGGAGUUGGAUUAAGCUCAGUGGGGGUGACCACAACCGUAAGGCCAACGAGAUCCUUGGCCUUUUGUGCAGGGUUCACUUCCCUGGCUUGGUGGUGUACGCCGGACAGCUGCAGCCGGCCUACACGUGGGACCACUACGUCGCCGCCCCCGACGUCCCUGAUCGUCAACAGAGAAGAUUCCCCAACAAAGCGGAGCGGGUCAAGGCCGAGCUGUGGGUAAGUACUCCUCGUACUAAAUUGCUCAAUACAUCACCUACUUUCGACAUUCUUGAAAUAAUAACUGUAUACGCAUGUAUAUGCAGGACUUCUAUAGAUGCCCGGAGGGGUUCGAGGCCAAGGCGAAGGCCGUCUGUGAUGUAGCCGCCAAGAAGCUCGUGAAGGACAUGCAUUACGAGGCGCGCAUCCAGGCCAUCAUCGAAUUCCACGCUCAAUACAGACAGAUGAAGGUUAGAAAAGAGGAGGCAAGAACAAUGAACAUGACUAAGGACCAAUUCAUGAGGGUAAGUAAAGAACGUUGAUGUUUACUAUUUAUGAUUAAUUAGGCUCAUUUUCUUGUUCAUAUGUCACACGCUUGAUGAUGUAGGUGCCUCCGUGGUGGUGUCGUGCGCAUAUGCCGUGCUGGGAGAGGAUGGUCGACGUGUGGUUGGAGCCCGGGUGGUUGGAGAACCACCUUGCUUGCUGGCAGCGGCGUUUGCAGAUGCCGACUGCACCACACCAUCAAGGCAGCCUAAGCCUUGAUGAAUAUAGAGAAAAAUGGGUACGCAACUUCAAUUCUUUAUUGUAACGUUCAGUUCUACGUAAUUUUUAAUGAUUUUGUAUUUUGCCGCAGUCGGCGUCACAUGAUGGCCGACCAUGCUCCCAGCUCAAGGCAUGGGUCCUCUCCAAAAAGGGCAAGGCGACGGUCGAUAUAGAUUUCAACCCAGACGACCCGUCCGAGGCGUACAGCCACCCUAGCAUACACAACCGCAUCAGCGAGUAUACAAAGAUGGCUAGGGAGGUUCACGGGCCAGACUUCGAUCCGAGCUCCGAGGACAUUGAUGGAGAAAUCGUGAUGAGGGUGGGAGGAGGCAAGAAGCAUGGCCGAUAUUGGAUUGGCGACGGCGUCAUCGACACGGCCUCUACUCCCACUCUCUCCCAGAUCCGAGCUAGGAGCACGGACUCGAGCCUGGCGAUACGGCCAUGACCCACCGCUGCACAGUUCCAGAUGGAGGCUCUACAGGUUCUUUCUCUUCCAUUCAUCGUUCAUUUGUUGUUAUACUUUAGCUUUGCAUUAUAACAUUGCAAUGAAAAAUUGUAGGCCCAGGUGGAAGAAUCAAGGAAGAAACAAGAGGAGAUGGCGGCGCAGAUGGAGGCGCAGAUGGAGGAAAUGCGGCGGAGGAUGGAGGAGGAAAACCGGAUUAGGAUGGAGCAGAUGUUCCAGUACAUGCAGAACUUUGCUUCAAGCAUGGGACAGUCUUUGCCUCCGCCACCGCCGAUGAUGUUCCCUCCGCCUCAGCCACCCACGACUACUCCUGUGAGUCACUUGACACAUUGUGCUUAAGAUUUAAUACUUUAAAUUUGACAACUUUAGAUGUUAGCUCAGAAUAUCCUAUCCUAUGUGCAUAAUCAAUCGGCGGCUUCGAAUAAUGAAGAUCAAGAUUUGUCGCAGUGGUCUCCUUGGCCUCCACGGAAGUAGACUUGGUUGUGAACAAUGUGGAAACUAAAUUGUGACAAGAACUUGGAUUUAUGGAUUAUUUCGUGCUGAUGUUGAAUUAUGCCUGUGGUGUUUAUGAAUUAUGCCUGUGGUUGUGAAUUAUGCAUGUGAUUGUUUAUUACAAAUGCCUGUGAUAUGUGUAUUGUGAAUUGAGAGGGGUCCGUUAUACGUGACAAAAUGUUGAAAAAGGGGGGGUUCUGGUCACUUUGCCGAGUGUAACACUCGGCAAAGAGGGGCCUUUGCCGAGUGUUUUGGCUUUAACACUCGGCAAAGAGGCAUUUCCCAGGUGUAGGAAAGCUUGUUUGCCGAGUGCUAGGGACAAGGCACUCGACAAACAAGGGGUCUUUGCCGAGUGCCAGGCGCGAGGCACUCGGCAAAGGCCCUAAUUCCCAGCUACCUGGGCAGGGUUGUUUGCCGAGUGCCCACCCUAACACUCGGCAAAGGGCCCGUCUUUGCCGAGUUCCCGGGACACGGCACUCGGCAAAAAAGCCGGCUUUGCCGAGUGCCCACUCCGUGACACUCGGCAAAGACCCGGUGUUUGCCGAGUGCCUCCCGUCUGGCACUCGGCAAACCCGCCGUUAACCCCGACGCCGUCAGCGCGUAUUUCACCGAGUACAUCUUUUCGCCGAGUGUUUUUUGGCCGUCGGCAAAAUGUUUGCCGAGUGCUCGCGUUUUGACACUCGGCAAACUAGUCUUUGCCGACACAAAAUUUGCCGUGUGCUCUUUGCCGAGUGUUACACUCGGCAAAGCCUUUGCCGAGUGUUUUUGGGCUUUCGCCGAGUGCCUCUGGCACUCGGCAAAGCUUCUGUUUCCCGUAGUGAUGCUAGAUGAUGUGUCCAUGCCUUGCUAACGUCUUCUACAUGCCAUGCGAGUUAAAAAUCCUGCAAUCAUGUUUCGUGGUAGCAGUUUACCUUUGCACAAUGAAACUCCUCACUAAAAACACAGGUCAAUUUGAGGGACUAUUGUGUUAUUUUUACAGGGAUCUAAUGCCAUCAAUCAAAUUGUAAAAUACAGACAGGUGCGCGUGGAAUGGACACUUGUGUUCAUUCAGAUUUUUGUGAUAUUUCAUACCUAAUGAUUACCAGGUUGUCACGCCCCUACAUGCAAAAUUGGUCUACGAGAUGGGAUAUGAGCUCAAAAUGACGUGAGAGCUGUAUUAUCAUGUAGCUCAUGACCUGGCAGAAGUGAAUAGUUGCACGAAAUACAACAUUGCAAACAAGAUUUUAUUCAUUCUCUCUGCCGAUGGCACACGGUAGCAGAAGCAGUGCCACCAAUUGGUGAAAGAUUUUCAGUAAACUGAGUGUUUGACAGAACAAUAUGAUGCCACCAAAGCAAUCUGCAUGAGUUCUCUACCUCCGGAAGUCCAGAUGCUUGCUCUGUUUCAUUGCUGUAGCUCAUGGCAACUCUGGCAGCACCAUGGUCAUUUGCUGCACCAUUUUUCAGAAUAUGUAAAAUUCAAGUCAUACCAUGCAGUUGAUGGAGAUAAAGAUAUGCUCCAAAUGAAAUGAUUAAAAAAACAAUCAUAUUUAUUCUCCAGGCACCAAUGGAACUCAUUCCCGAUGUCACUUGUCUCUGCCUGUGCCUACAUCGAGGAAGUAGCAUGCGAAUGAGAAAGACGAAGAUAAGUACCAAGAGGUAAAUGUAUUCACUUGUCUCUGCAUGUGCCUACAUCGAGGAAGUAGCAUGCGAAUGAGAAAGACGAAGAUAAGUACCAAGAGGUAAAUACAUUCUUGAGAUAAAUAGAUAAAUAAAACCAAGGACCAGCCCGUGAAAAUAAGUACUCCGUUUAAGAUACUAUAUGCACAAUAAUCUUUACUCGUACAUAUUUUCUGUACAGCCAUGUACAAAGUUCAGCUCACUGUCAAGAGGUACACCAUACGACUGCAAGCUCAAAGAAUAGAAGAUUAUUACACACCACCCAAACUCUACCUUUUGUACAUCAGGUGCUCGAGAAACAUACAUUGGACGAGUAGAAUAAAAGUUAUAAAUCAUAUCAACAAUCCCAGUUAAAUACGGUGUUUCCGAAACAACCAACCGUUCUUGGGCGUAAUCUUCCUGACACUAUCCUGGAGAAACUGGAGCGUGCCUGGAGACAUGUGAGCCCUGUCCAUUGUGUUAACCUUCGCCGCCUUUCGAGGGGACAAGGCACACUGCAUUGCCCAGAUUGCAAGGGGGCGCAUGUAUAUCAAUGACCUAUAGUGGCCAUCCACUGUCCAUGCUUCUGGAGUUUGAAACCAGUACCUGAAUUUGUCAAGGAAAUUGAUUAUUAAUUAUUAGCAUAAAUUGGUCCAAUAAUGUGACUCCAUUUCUGUUACGAAACAAAUCGAUGAAUGCGCUGAAUCCAAGAUAGUGCGAUCAUAAAAGAACUAUAUCCAUUGCCAGUAACAAUAAAUAAUCUUAGCAGUCUUAAGCAGCAUUAACUUCGCAUACUGCAGGAAAAUGUACAGUAAUAUCUAAACCCUUUAUGACUUUAUCUCAUACUAUUACUUAACCAUUGUCAUCUCAAAGGACGAACUAGUAUAUGAGAACUACUCACAUUAUGAGAACUACUCACAUUACUAUGCAUAUCAUGUACUGGGAAAAUGAUGCUAGGACUGCCAGUGGCGGGCGCAGGAUUUGGACUAUGGGUAUUCAAAAUUGAAGAUGGCAAGAAAAAAAAAUGACAGACUAAAUUAUAGUUUUAUAACACAUAAUAAUUAAGUGGUAGCAGCAUCAUUGAUUAAUAAAAAUUAUCAGAAAUUGAAAUUGUCCAGCUACUAAUGAUCAACAUAUCAAAGUGGCAACAUGUGAAAUAAAUAGAGGCUAAAACAAUAAAAUGGUAACAAAGAUUACAACUUACAAGCUAUAGGACAACUUUCCGUUCUGCAAUGCUUUGAAAAUGAGCGAUGAUGUCUUUAUCUUUAGCUUGCAUGAAGAAUUCCCUUUCAAUCAAUGUGACCAAGCAACCAUUCAAAUAUUUCUGCCCCAUCUUACUCAAAUCAGUAGCGGCACUACCCUUCCUCUUCAUGGUUCAAACCUAAAAGUUACACAAUUUCAACUUAUCAGAUAUUUACAAUUUCACAUUGAACUAAAUUCGUGAGCAUCCACAUUUUGCAAGUUGAUGUGCUAUUCCAAUCUGACAAACAAUUGAAAAUGAUUACCUCAAUUUCACCAACAAUCAGCAGUUUGGGGGCAGACCGAUAGUACUGUCGCGGUGUCGCCGCGUGCUCGUCGUGUCGCCCAGUAGGUCGCCGCGUGCUCUCCGGGUUGAACGGCGGCGCCGCCGCCUGCUCGUCGGCCCGCCGCGGAGCCGCUGCCUGCUCGCCGGCCGCCGGCCCGCCGCGGAGCCGCCGGCCCGGCCGGCCGGCCGCCGCUCUGGGGUCCCUGCCUCACUGCCUGCGUGCGCCGUGCGCCGUGCGGGCUGCAGGCGCCACCUGCGCGCCAGGCGCCGAGCAGGCCGGCGCCGCCAAGGCGCACCGCGCACCGCGCUGGGCGCUGGCCGCCCGCGGCCCGCCUGGCGCCUGCCGCCGACCAGGCAGGCAGGCACGCGCCUCCGCCGGUCCACCCCCCAGCCACCUCCGGCUCGCCACUCGCCGGCCGCCGUGGAUCCGCCUGCCGCCGGCCCGCCGCUCCGGCUCCGUGCGCCUCUGCUCGCCGCUCGGCGCCAACACGCGCCGGCCGCACUGCCGCAGGCCGCCCGCCGGCCGCCGCCCUCCUAGCGGCUAGCCCGCCAGCGCCAGCCGCGGCCUACCACCGUCCGCCGGGCGCCGCCACCGCCGGUCCGCCGCCGCCGCCGCCGCCGCCGCCGCCGCUACUCGCUAGGGCCUAGGGUUUGCGCGCCUGGAGACUCCUGGAGCCGUGCGCGUGAAUGUGCUUCGGUGGGGGUGGGCUGGUGGCCGGUGGGGGACUGGGGGCGUGGGCAGGCCGGAUGGGCCGGAUGGGCCAGUUGGGCCAGUUGAGGGAGAGCGAAGUUGGCCUCCGGUGGGCCUUUUCGAGUGAAAUGUGUAUGCUAGCUUUUGUAUUUUUGUUUUUUUCAUACAUACACCUAAAAUACACUAUAUAUAUGAAAUUUUUUUGCAAAAAUAAUGGGUAUUCAAUUGAAUACCCUUGAAUCAAAGUGGGCCCGCCCCUGCCUCUCAGCAUAGUCAUCAUGUCCAAGGCUGCGGGCCAGUGCGGCUGCAGCUUGCAGUGCAGUUCGAAGGCAAAGGCAACCAGUACGCACUUACUCCUUGAACUAUCCAAGCAUCAUAAGUUUGAUAAGGAAAUCCAUAAUUUUCAAUCAUACCAUUGUUGCGAUACGAGGUAGGCUACACUAGCGUAAAUCAAAAUUUCUACCGCGUAUAACCAGGAAGAACUGCCGUAUAAGGAUCACGGGAUUACCACUCGACGCACUACUGGUGCGGAAGAUGUAGAUAUGCGUCGAUGCAGUGAAGACGAUCACGUAGUUGUACGUAGUCGAUCAAUGUAGUCGUACGUAGUCGAUCACGUCCAGCAGCUCCUCAGCAGCUCGUCCACGUGCACAGCAAGAUCGCCUCCGGUACCGCGGCUCGUCGUCGGCUCGUCAUGGCACGUCGGCGGCUCGUCGGCGGCUCGUCCAAGUGCUGCAGGCGCAACACCUCCAAGGUAUCCACACGUGCAGGGAGGAAGCGUCGCAAGCCGGAUUGCUAGAUCCGCGUGUUGCAGCAGGCGAGGGCGUGGGAGGCGCGGCAGGUGUGUUUCGCCAAAAGGUGUAAACCCUAGGGCACCCCCACCCCUCUAUUUAUAGAGGUUCCUGAUGGGCCUCUGGAUCCGAGGCCCAUUAGUACUCCUAAACCUAAUCCAACUCGGAUCAGAUCCGAAUUGGGCUUCCAGCCCCUUAAGUGUGUGACCCUAUGGGUUCGAAUUCGUAUAGACAUGGCCCGAGUACUCCUACUCGGCCCAAUAGUCGGUAGCGGCCUCUAGCAAGACGUGCCAACUCCUAUACGCAUACGAAGAUCAUAUCAGACGAACCAUCACAACAUAAUAUACAUGCUAUUCCCUUUGCCUCACGAUAUUUGGUCUAGCUUCAAGCCGACCGCUCUUUCUCGAUCCUGUGAUUCGGAAUCCCUUUGUAGGUUAACUCUUAACCGUACGUAGCAUGGCCAUGCAUUUUUCGGAUCCGGUCACUCGAGGGGCCCAGAGAUAUCACUCUCAAUCAGAGAGGGGCAAAUCCCUUCUUGAUUUGACCAUGUCUCAUAGCAUGCUUCUUGACAAACCCGAAAGCUACCUUUAUAACUACCCUGUUACGGCGUAGCGUUUGAUAGCCCCUAAGUAGGUCGAUCCACAUCUAGAAUACAUGCGACAAUCUCAGGUCUAAGGACAAAGCGUAUAUGUUGUUUAAAGAGAGAACUACUUCUCGUGUUGGGUCAGUCCUAACACAUGUCUCCACAUGUGUCCACAUUAUUAGUUCAACAUCUCCAUGUCCAUGACUUGUGAAACAUAGUCAUCAACUAAUACAUGUGCUAGUCUAAUAUUCAUGUGUGUCAUCACAUGAACUCCGACUAGGGACAACUUUAGAAUAACCAUACAAGUAAAGAGUUUCACAUACAAUUCACAUAAUUGCAAAUCAAUUCAAGUAGCCUUUAAUGGAUAUUCAAUGAACACAAUAUACAAAUCAUGGAUACAAAUGGAAUAUCAUCAUCUCUAUGAUUGCCUCUAGGGCAUACCUCCAACAGUCUCCCACUUGCACUAGAGUCAAUCUAGAAGGUACCUAAUACCCAUAGCUCUUACAUGCGCAUCAUGCUUAGCCUGCGGGAGUGGUUUUGUCAACGGAUCAGAAAUGUUCAGAUCCGUGUGUAUUUUGCAUAUCUUGAUCUCACCCCGGUUAACGAAGUCUCGAAUGAGAUGAAAUCGCCGCAUUACGUGUUUGUUCUUCUGGUGGUUCCUUGGCUCCUUUGCUUGCACAAUAGCCCCAUUGUUAUCACAGUAGAGAUUCAAUGGGUUGGACGCAUUCGGGAACACACCAAGCUCAAUGAGGAAAUUCCUUAUCCAAACACCUUCCUUCGCGGCUUCCGAAGCUGCGAUGUACUCGGCUUCUGUCGUAGAAUCGGCCACCGUCUCCUGCUUGGAACUCUUCCAACUAACAGCACCACCAUUUAGCGUGAACACAAAUCCUGAUUGUGACUUUGAAUCAUCUCUGUCGGUUUGGAAACUAGCAUCGGUGUAACCUGUUACAACGAGCUCUUCCUGACCUCCAUAGACGAGGAACAUAUCUUUAGUCCUUCUCAAGUACUUAAGAAUGUUUUUCACUGCUGUCCAGUGACUCUCACCUGGAUCAGAUUGGUGUCUGCUUGUCAUACUUAGCGCAUAUGAAACAUCUGGGCGAGUACUUAUCAUUGCAUACAUGAUAGAUCCAAUAGCCGAGGCAUAUGGCACUCUACUCAUGCGAUCCCGCUCAUCAGCAGUCGAAGGACACUGAGUCUUGCUGAGAUGUAUGCCAUGUGACAUAGGCAAGAACCCUUUCUUUGCCUCUUCCAUGCUGAACCGCUUCAACACUUUGUCAAUAUAAGUAUCUUGGCUCAGACCUAUAAGCCUUCUCAAUCUAUCUCUAUAGAUCUUAAUGCCCAGAAUAUAUGCCGCUUCCCCUAAGUCCUUCAUCGAAAAACUAUUUUUCAGUGAAGUCUUUACGGACUCAAGCAUAGGAAUGUUAUUUCCAAUCAGUAAUAUGUCAUCCACAUAUAAGAUUAGAAAUACUACAGAGCUCCCACUAACCUUCUUGUAAACACAAGACUCUUCUUCGUUCUUGGUGAAGUCAAACCCUUUGACCACUUCAUCAAAACGAAUGUUCCAACUCCUAGAUGCUUGCUUCAAUCCAUAAAUGGAUCUCUGAAGCUUGCAUACCUUUCCAGCAUUUUUCGGAUCGACAAAACCCUCGGGCUGUAUCAUAUACACGUCCUCAGCUAGGUUUCCAUUCAGGAAAGUUGUCUUGACAUCCAUCUGCCAUAUCUCAUAAUCGAAAUAUGCAGCUAUAGCUAGAAUAAUCCGAAUGGACUUAAGCAUCACUACGGGCGAGAAGGUCUCGUCGUAGUCAACUCCUUGAACUUGUCGAAAACCUUUUGCGAUAAGUCGUGCUUUAUAGAUGUGAACAUUUCCAUCCAUGUCCUUUUUCUUCUUAUAGAUUCACUUGCACUCUAUGGCUUUAACACCAUCAGGCGGGUCAACCAAGUUCCAAACUUGAUUGUCUCCCAUGGACUCUAUUUCGGAUUGCAUGGCACUCUGCCAUUUUUCGGAGUCUGGGUCCAUCAUUGCUUCUGCAUAUGUCGCAGGCUCAUCAUUGUCUAACAAUAAUAUUUCUCGCAUUUCGCGGAGCCUUGCUGACCUUCGUGGUUGUGGCGGUGCUUCUCUUGCCAUGGGUAUCUCAACUUGUUCUGCUACUUUAGCAUCACUCAUUGAUUCUUGCCCGAUCGGCUCAUCUUGAACUUCUUCAAGAUGCACUGUCUUUCCACUCUUUUCUCCUUUGAAAAACUCUUUCUCUAGGAAAACCCCGUUCCGAGCGACAAACACUUUGCCUUCUGAUCGGUUGUAGAAAUAAUAUCCCAAAGUUUCCUUUGGAUAUCCCACGAAAAUGCACUUAUCCGACUUGGGUGUGAUCUUGUUCGACUGAAGUCGCUUGACAAACACUUCACAUCUCCAAAUCUUUAGAAAAGACAAACUAGGAACCUUUCCAGUCCAUAUCUCAUAUGGUGUCUUAACUACGGAUUUAGAUGGUACCCUAUUUAGUGUGAAAGCUGCUGUUUCUAGAGCGUAUCUCCAAAAUGACAACGGUAGGUCUGACUGGCUCAUCAUUGAUCAAACCAUGUCUAACAAAGUUCGAUUACGUCGCUCGGACACACCGUUUCUCUGAGGUGUUCCAGGCGGCGUCAGUUGUGGAACAAUUCCACAACUCUUUAGAUGAUUGCUAAACUCGUGGCUCAAAUACUCGCCUCCACGAUCAGAUCGUAAGGCCUUAAUUUUCUUGCCACGCUGAUUUUCAACUUCAUUCUGAAAUUCCUUGAACUUUUCAAAGGUCUCAGACUUGUGCCUCAUCAAGUAGACAUAGCCAUAUCUACUAAAAUCAUCAGUGAAAGUUAUGAAGUAUUGGAAUCCUCCUCUAGCCGUCGUGCUCAUUGGUCCGCAUACAUCACUAUGUACGAGUUCCAACAAGUCUACUGCUCUCUCAGGAAAUCCUGUGAAAGGCGUCUUGGUCAUCUUGCCUAGCAAGCAAGCCUCACAUGUCUCGUAUGAUUCAAAAUCAAACGAAGUUAGAAGUCCAUCAGAAUGGAGCUUCUUCAUGCGCUUUUCACUUAUAUGACCCAAACGACAAUGCCAUAAGUAGGUAGGACUCAAAUCAUUAGGCCGAGGCCUUUUAGCACUUACAUUACAGACAGGUGAACCAUCAAGAUUUAAAACAAACAAUCCAUUCACAAUGGGUGCAAAAGCCAUAAACACAUUAUUCUUAGAGAUCACACAGCCAUUGUUUUCACUCGCAAAUGAAUAACCAUCCUCCAUCAAGCAUGAAGGAGAUAAAAUAUUUCGACUUAAACUAGGAACAAAAUAACAAUUAUUCAACUCCAUAAUAAAUCCUGACGGGAGGUGGAGUUGCAUCGUCCCGACGGUCAAAGCAGCAACUCUUACAUUAUUGCCCACGCGGAAAUUAACUUCUCCUCUUUCCACGCUUCUACUUCUUAUCAUUCCCUGCAUCGAAUUGCAAAAAUGAGCAACCGAUCCGGUAUCAAAUACCCAAGAAUUAAUAAUUGUAUCAGCGAGAAAUAUGUUGUCUAUAACAUUAACAACAAGCGUACCUGAGGUAGAAGUACUCUUACUUCCACCGUUCUUCAAGGAAGCUAGGUACUGCUUGCAGUUUCUCUUCCAGUGACCAAGUUCAUGACAGUAAAAGCACUCUUUGUCUGGAGCAGGUUCAGGUCCAGCUUUAACCUUGGGCGGUGGGUUUGGCUUGGACGUUCCAGCCUUGCCCUUCUUCUUCCAAGAAUUGCCCUUCUUCUUAAAGCUGGGCUUGUUCUGUAUCGCCAUCACAUGGCUGGUACUAGCGCUUUUCUUGAUGUCAGCCUCUGCUGUCUUGAGCAUACCACACAGUUCAUUCAAACCCUUCUCCGUUCCAUGCAUAUGGUAGUUCGAGAUGAAGUUCCCAUAGUUAGGUGGAAGAGAUGAAAGAAUGAAAUCAGUGGCCAACUCUUGGCCCAGUGGGAAGCCUAGCUUCUCCAACCGUUGAGUGUAACCAACCAUCUUGAUUACGUGUGGUCCUACUGCUGCGCCUUCUGCUAGCUUGCUCUCAACAAAGGCCUUAGACACAUUGAACCUUUCAGUCCUGGCCUGUGUUUGGAACAUGUCUCUAAGCGCCACGAUCAUAUCGUGCGCCUCAUGGUUUGUUUCGAACUGCAUCUGCAGCUCGGGUUCCAUGCAAGCAAGCAUAAGGCAGCUUACUUCAAGGUUAGCAUCACAUGCCUUCUUGUAAGCAUUCUUAGCAGCAGCGGGUGCAUCAUCAGCAGGUUCUUCUGGUAGUGGGUUGUCUAGAACAUCUUCCUUUUUCUCAGCCCUGAGAACAAUUCUCAGGUUGCGGAUCCAAUCCGAGUAAUUUGUUCCAUUCAACUUGUCCUUCUCAAGGACCGAACGCAAAGCAAACGGUGUAGUGCUGCUAGAUGCCAUUUAAUCUACAACAAAGUAAUGCAAAAUACACUAAGACAAACGUAUCCAUGAUAGAGCAAAUUACAUUAAACUAUUUUAACAGAAUCUACUCCCACUAAAAUCAAUAUCCCUCUAUUGAAACUUAGUGAUUCAGGAUCCACAACUAACAAGUCCACUAGUGAGCUUUAGCAUCACCGCUAGCAAACGAGGUAGAUCGGUAAGCAACUUUUGCUAAUCAUAUCACAUAUGACUCCUGUUGUUGGGUGACAUCUCUAUGUCUCGGCGCCCAACCUUUAUGCCCCAAGGUCCUUAACCGUUAAGAUGACCUUGUUAAGCAAACCAACCCUUAUGCGUGUAAGUGUCCGACACAAACCCGUCUAGUCAAGGAAAACUAGUGGCACCCUAAUUUCAUAGACCCACCACUAAUUGUACAAGACAUGGGACGGUGCAAGUUUUAGUUGGGAGGGUGUUGGCGCUAGAAAUCGGUCAACCGAAUCCCAGCGACCGACACACGACCCGGGAGAAUCUGCUUAGCUCCUGUUCGGGUAAAUGCCCUGGUGUGGUUCGCGCGGCGUGCCAGCCAAUCUGACCUGUUGAUUGGCAAGGAAGAACACGUGUCAAAUUCAGAAACUACGAUCGGCUAAGUUUCCGAUCGAGAGAAGCUUAAUCGGCAAAUCGGCCGAUUUACUGUGAUAAUGAAAUCGGCUAUAAGACAGCACGAUCCCUGUAGCCUUGUAGACAGAAAAAUACUAAAGUAAUCGGUACAAAGCUUGUGAUAACAGCACUAGGAAAAGAUCUAAUCGGCAACGAAUGGAUCUAACGACAGAAGGUGAUGAAAGCCGAUACUACCGAUUCCUAGCGAGAUAACUGGUGAUAAAAACUAGGAAAACAGGUAAAAACCUAUGAAUCUAGUUGAUAUCGAUAACUGAUGAAUAAAUCUAAACGAAACAACAGCGAUGCGCCGGAAGUUAAAGCUUAGAUAUUACUUGAUAAGCGGAACUUACAGAAUCGGCCGGAGAUCAAGAUGAUGCAGCCCUGCCAACCCGCACGAACUCGUGAGAAGAAAAAGUAAUGGCGAAGUCGCCUGCUCGAAAGUAAGUACGAAGAAGAAAGUAACUUGUUGUAUUGAUUGAUUGUUGUGUUUACAGAUUUACAAAGGUAGCUAUUUAUAGCCCUGUACAAAUAACCUUCUUAACUGACUAGAACUCUAUCUCUAAUUCAAACAGAAAACAAAUAUCUACAAGCACAACCCGUGCUAAACUAGUUACCCCAUGCUUCGUGGGCUGACCUCCACCUUAUCCUUCCAUCUUUCCAAGCCCAUACAGGCCCAACUAGUCCAUCUUCCUGAUCGGCCGAUUUCUUAUCGGCAAAGGAUUGCCGAUUGGGAGUCUGGCGCAUUCACCCUGAAGCGAAGCAAAAGCUACCGGCCGAUUCCGCAUUAUAGCACCAUUUGACCGAUUCCCAACCGUACUUCUUCGACUUCUUUUCUCCUUGGCGCCGAUUCUACUGAUGACGAAAUCCGGCGUCAACACAUGCCCCCCAGUUUCGGAGUAAAACACAGUCUUUUACUUCGAAAUUCUUUAUAACCUCCCCUCCGAAACGGCCGCAGUGAAAAUAUCCUUCCGUUUCGCGGUCUCCCGGCUGAUCAUUGCAAUUUUUGAAACGGGCGCCCACGACAGCCACUACCCCGAAAAACUCGACACGCCGGCGCGGUGAAAAUUCCAUCUUUACCCUCUCUUCAGGCACCCUAUAAAUAACACCUCACCGCAGCUCAUCUUCAAGCUCACGUCUCUUUUUCCAACGCGCGCGCAUCCUUCUUUCUUCAAUUCUCCCUUGCCAUCGAAGUCUUCUAGUUCCAGCUCCUGUCACUUCUUCCCCUUUCCCUUCAAUGGCGACUCCUUCCGGCAAUUCCCCCGCACGCGAUGCUCCAGAGAUAGUGCCUCCGGUGGUGGUAGCGACGGCCGUCACUUCUUCCGCAGAUGAAAAAGCUUCAUCAGAAAUCCCAAUGGCGGUCCCCAUCAUGGCCCCGUCAUCUGCAUCCGCGUCGGCGACCACGCCGAUUACUCAGAACUUUAUCCCGGAGGUAAAUACCGAAUCCUUCCUCUAUCGGCAAUAUAUUCAUCUUAGAUCUAUUCCUUACAUUCCUAUGCCCCUUUUCUUUUUUUUUAGGCGGUUAGACAUAGAAUUACUAUUCACCUCACGGGCAAUCCUGGCCUUGUUUGCCUUGGCCCCAUGGGAGACCCAGAUCCGGCGGUUCUUAUAGAUUUGGAAACUUAUCGGAUACCUUUCAAACGAUCCGAUAUGAACUUAGAUCAAUGGGCAAGCACUUUUAGAUCCUGGCCGAAUGAAACCCCAGGUUGGAGGGAAUGGUACCAACGGGUGGCCGCGUCAAGGAGCGUCUCGUGGGAUGAGCUCAAAAUUGGCCAAUGUAUCAACCUCUCCCUGUCUCAAAUGGAGAAAAACGAGCCGUUAGUGAUGGCGACUUCCUAUUUUUGGUCUGACGCACUUAAUGCGUUCUUGUUUGGACACGGUCCUAUGACUCCCACUCUGGCCGAUGUGGUCCUCUUGACCGGCCUGGACAUAUCUUCCCCUGACAAACCUUUCCAGCUUUUGACCGUAACAUCGCAUCGGCUGGACACAAGGGGAAUCGGCGGCUGGAAGGGCUUUAUCAGUAGUAUCAAGAAGACCGGUACUGUUGAGAACAGGGAACACACCGCUUUCCUGAUGAUGUGGCUAGAAAAACACCUUUUCUGUAGAAGAGCCGCCGGCCCAACAACCAACACCCAAUCUUUAGCUGAAGCACUGUCCAAAGGAAACCAUAUUCCUCUCGGGAAACAUCUUCUGGGUGCCGUGUACCAUAUGCUCCAUCAAAUCAGUACGAAACUUUCCAAGGGAGAACCAAUCGGCAACCCAGGUGGGCCUUGGUGGUUCGUCAAUCUAUGGUUGAACCUUUACAUGAACAGAAUCACCCGGCAGCCAGUGGACCACAUGACGUUUCCCAAUAUCGAAUCGGCGGAGGACCCUACCGAGCGUCGCCGAUGCAUGUCUUAUGGUGAAGCAGCGUCAGCUUUUCCAGGUUGUGCGUAUUCCGCUACAAAGGUAGCCGAGUACUUUCGGUGCUUUUAUAAUGGAUUUAAUGAGGACGCAACUACCUGGUUUCCAUACCAGCGAGACAUCCCAGUCUUCGAGCUCCCCUCCUGCUUCGAUUCAACUUCUGGCCGGUUUGAUGAAGAUCUUUAUGAAGAACUGAUUAAACCAGGACUCUUACCGGCCAACUUCUUCUCGGGGAAAGAUGCCCCUACAUACGAAUUCUACAACCCGUCUACUGCCGCACGACAAUUCGGCAUGGGUCAAUUGCCGAUACGGGUGUAUUUUGCUGGCCGAAUCAAGUUCAGAGAUGUGCUUACAACUGGCCUGGAUUACUGUCGGCUGCGAGACCGAAUUCCGGACUCCAGUACAAUUAAUUUGAAUGACUGGCUAUUAUAUCCAUUUGCCAUCCAGCCGUUCAAACUUUGGUGGGCCGAAUGGAAGCAAUUUCUAUUCUGCAACUCAGCAUCGGCAUACUGCAAUCUUCUAGAUCCGGCCAACAUUGAUCCCAACGCCGAGGUAUUUCUGAUUACCAAUUUUGUUCUUUUCCAACAUGAUUGAGUACUAAUGAUUUCAUUGUUUCUUUAGGCCGAGAAUCAAACCCCUCCAACGCACAGCCGCAGCGGUCGGCUAAUGGAGAGCUACCCGUACACCACCUAUCCCCUUAUCGGCUAUGACGCUCCGUCAGUUGACAUGAUUGCUGGCCGAUCGAACAAGGUUCAUAAAAAGGUCAUCAAGAAAACCAGUCGCCGAGUCCGGGCUCGUACGACAUCGGCGGAUCCUCCUGUGCUCGUAUCGGCAGAAACCUUGACUGCAUCGCCCCAGGCCACACAAAGUACCGAUACUCAAGCCAUUGCACAAGCCGGAGCGGCUGCCGCCUCACUAUUGUUGGAAGCUUUACAAGUGAGUUCAAGCUUUGCCAUCUCCGAUCGUUAUUUACAUAUUAACUUUUUCUUAACUCUGUAUUCCCCAGAGCACCGCUUCGGAAAUACCACAAUCGGCGACAACUCGACCGGACGCCAACGCACCCUUGCCCUCAUCCAUUGAGGUAUAGUACUUAUCUUACGGAUUUCCUUCGGGUAUCCGUGUAAUAUUUUUGACCGAUUUUCUGACGCAGGCCAUCGGCACGCCGAGCGUUUCUCGACAACCGAUUUCUUCUCAGGGAGCUGGUCCGAGCACCGCACCGAUUAUUGUAGAAUCUUCUUCAUCAGAUGAACCCAUGGUACAGGCCACUGAGCAAGUCCCGACAGUUUUACAAGCACAGCAUGAAGAAAUUCGCUUUAAAAUGGUAAGCCACUAAACCAGCUUUCAACCAGCCGAUUCGCUCUGUUUCCCCGCCGACUCACCCUUUUUUUUUCUUAUUCUCUUAGGAGCAAGACUCUCCCGACAACAGCCUCUUCUCCUUCGCGGUUGCUCUUUCUGAUGAUGAAGAAAUUGCGUCCCGCCAAGUCGCUUUAAGCUCCGUUCCUGACGAUGUCCGAGCUAAACUUGCCAACAUCCGAUCCCUCCUGCAAGGGGACAUCGGCCGAUUGGUAGAAGAUGCUUCGCCGAUUCGGCAGCUCUUUAGCGACGUCAGCGGAUGGGUACCAGAGGAAGCGGAAGAGGCCUUGGCACCGGCGGCCUUUAUUGAGUCCAUGAGGAUCCUAGUUUUUAGGGCCCUUCGUCAUAUGGCCGAUCGCGCGAAGCUGGCCAAGACUCGUGAAGAUGAGAAUGCUUUUAAGCGUCAGGCUCAGGAAGCGAAUCGGCGUAUCCAUGUCUUAGAAGAUUCACGCCCGGCGAUCAUUAGUGAAAUAGAUCGCCUCAAACGACGGCGGGCGGAACUUGCCAAAGAGAUGGAGCAAGUGACCAAGGCAAUCAACGCUGAAGAGAACAAACUUCAAGAGUUACCCUCUGCUAUUGCCGAUUUGACACGGGAGAGGCAGCGUUUUGCUCAAGAGGCUCUGAGACUCCACCGCAACGCAUCGGAGGUCCCUGGAUCAGCAGAAGAAGACCAACGGGUUCUUGACUCUGCCGAUCAGAUCCGGCGUCGGGCCAUCACGGCUAUCGAUACCCUUUUGGGUAAUCUGUAAAACACUGACCGUUUUGUACGAACAUUUACUGCCUUCUUUGACCGACCCUUCGCGACGCCCUCUAUUUACUGCCUUCCUUAUUACCGAUGGGACGUGGCCUCAUCAGAUUUCCACGCAUUUCCCCCAUAAAUAUCGACCUCGGCGCUUACUCCCGAUAGCAUUGAUCUGGCUCCCCUUUUGCCUUUCCUCUUCCUCUCAUCGGCACGACUGUUUCGCCAUGGCCUCAUCGUCAUCCUCUUCUGUCAACCAGGUGAGGUCCCGCCUUCUCCUCUUAGAUCUUAGGAAACGAAUGCUUCACCUUAUUCCUUCUUUGUUUCAGCCCCAACGCCUUGGUCCGGAGCUCGUGCGCGCCAUCGAGUGCAUCCAUUCCGAAGACCCGUUGACCCCGGAGGACAAGGCUCUGCUUCUGGCCCAUCGAGAGGAGCUCCAAGACCACAUUACUGCAGAUGCUCGUGUAGUCUUGGAUGCCGUGGUGAACGAAAGCCGUCGCCGAUCUCCAGUCAUGAGGGGUCGUCAUCGUGACGUUCCCGGAGAUGACGUCACUUCGACAGCCCGCACGAUCCUGGACUUCUUGGAAAGGAAUGGCAGCCCGCGGCCUCCCACCGAUAGGGUCCGUCUGCUUCCUCGUCCCGUCAUCCUGGCAGCGGCAGAGGCCUCGCGCCUUCGUGCUUUGGAGCGGAAUGGGGAAUCAUAUCAGAAGAAGGAUAAUUAGUUUGUUUUUUGUAAUUUUUUGUUCUAAGGGCGACUUAAUGUUUUGUCGGCCAUGUAAUCUGUCGCCCGUACCGAAUGAAUAUAAUUGGCUACUCCGGUCGAUUUUAUGUGCUUGUUAAACCGACUUGUAUCGGCCAUGUAAGAUUGUGUUACGGCUGAUUUCUUAGGCUCCAACCCAUAUACUUGGGUAAUAUCUUUUUAAGUACCUCCCAUUCAGAGCUCUAGUGAAUUCUUCUCCUUCUAUUGUUUCCAAAAUAUAGGCAUUCCCUGGAGCACAUCUGCCGAUUUUAUACGGCCCUUCCCAGGUAGGAGACCAUUUGCCGAAUUUAGGAUCUUUCGAUCCGAUCGGUAGUACCAAUUUCCAUACCAGGUCUCCGGGGAAGAACUGCUUGACUUUGACCUUUUUAUCGUACCACCUGACCACUCUCUUUUUAUUCUCUUCGAUACUUAUCAGAGCCCUUAGCCGUUGGCCGGCCAAAUCAUCAAGUUCUCCCUUCAUCAGAGAUGAGUAAUCAUCGGCUGACAACUGGUCCUGAAGUGAGAUGCGCCUUGAUCCUGCCCUCGACUCCCAUGGCAGUACUGCAUCGUGACCGUAUACCAACUGAUAGGGAGAUAACUUGGUAGCCCCAUGACAGGCCAUUCUGUAUGCCCACAGGGCUUCGGUCAAACAUAGGUGCCACUUCUUCGGGUAUUCUUCAAUCUUCCUUUUGAUCAACUUGAUUAUUCCUUUGUUGGAAGGUUCUGCUUGACCAUUGGCUUGAGCGUAAUACGGAGAAGAAUUUAACAAUUUGAUGCCCAUAUCGGUCGUAAAUUCCUCAAAUUCCCCCGAUGUGAACAUUGUUCCUUGAUCGGUUGUUAUAGUUUGAGGAAUACCGAAUCGGUAGACGAUAUGAUCCCUUACGAAAUCGGCCAUGAUAGCCGAAGUCACAGUCCUUAGUGGGAUUGCCUCCACCCAUUUGGUGAAGUAAUCAGUAGCAACCAGAAUAAACUUGUGCCCCUUGCUCGAUGGUGGAUAAAUUUGGCCGAUAAGGUCUAUUCCCCACCCUCUGAACGGCCAUGGUUUGAUGAUGGGAUUCAUGGCCGACGCGGGUGCACGUUGGACAUUUCCAAACUUUUGACACUCCUGACAACCCUUAUAAUAUUUGAAACAGUCUUCGAGGAUCGUAGGCCAAUAGUACCCGUUGUUUCUGAUCAUCCACUUCAUCUUAUGUGCUGAUUGGUGAGCUCCGCAUACCCCUUCAUGGAUUUCUCCCAUUAGAGUCUUGGCUUCUUCUGUCCCAAGGCAUUUAAGAAGAACACCAUCGAUCGUUCGGUAGAACAGAUCAUCUUCGAGCAAUACGUACUUGGUAGCGUGAAAGCGCACUCGUCGCUCCACCUUUUUAGACGGAUCCUUCAGGUAAUCGGCAAUUUCUUUACGCCAAUCGUCCGCUGCAAGUUCUAAGGCCAUGGUGCCCGGAAUCGGCCGAUACCCAGAUGCGUGUUGAGCGAGUUUGUUUGCUUCCUCGUUGCAGUCUCUUGGGACAUGCUCGAUUACUACCGAUCUGAAUUCUUUUAAAAGCUGUAAGCAAUCUUCGUGAUGAAUUCGUAAUAUGUCAUCUUUGCACUCAGCCCUUCCGGUUAGUUGAUCCACAAUUAGCAUCGAAUCUCCGAAGACCUCAACAGAAUCGGCCUUGACUUCUCUCAAUAAUCGUAAGCCUUUUAAUACAGCUCUGUACUCCGCUUGAUUGUUUGUGGCGGCGGUUUCUAUCGGCAGAGAAAAAUUAUAUCUUGCCCCCCGAGGCGAUAUGAGAACGAUGCCGAUUCCUGAUCCGACUCCGCAUGAUGACCCAUCAAAAAAUAACUGCCAAGGCGCUAGUUCCACGAAGGCGAUCUCCGGCCCACAGUGCUGGGCGACGAAAUCGGCCAUGACUUGACCCUUGAUGGCUUUUGCCGAUUCAUACCGUAGGUCAAAUUCUGAUAAAGCUAAGAUCCAUUUACCGAUUCGUCCUUUCAAUAUCGGCAGCGACAGCAUGUAUUUCACUACAUCAUCUUUGCAUACGACUAUACAUUCUGCCGACAGUAGAUAGUGCCUGAGUUUGGUGCACGAGAAGUAAAGACACAAACACAAACGCUCCACCGGAGGAUAUCUUGUUUCGGCAUCCAGGAGUCUCCUACUGACGUAAUAAAUGACCCGCUCUUUGCCUUCAAACUCUUGGACUAGAGCCGACCCGAUAGCUUUUUCAUCGGCUGAUAAAUACAGUUUAAACGGUUUACCAGUUUGAGGGGGAACCAAGACUGGCGGUGAGACCAAGUAUCGCUUGAUAUCUUCCAACGCCUUGCGCUGUUCCUCUCCCCAUAUAAAUUCCUGGUCUGGCUUCAACUUCAGAAGUGGCGUGAACGCCUGAAUUCGUCCAGAUAGAUUAGAUAUAAACCUUCUGAUGAAGUUUACCUUGCCGAUUAGAGACUGUAGCUCAGUUUUGUUCUGUGGGGCGACGACUUUGUUGAUGGCCGCUAUGGUCUUCUGAUUGACUUCUAUGCCACGUUCGUGCACCAUGAAUCCUAAGAACUGUCCGGCGGAGACGCCGAAAGCGCAUUUGUUGGGAUUCAUCUUAAGACCAUGCUUCUUGGUACACUCUAGCACCCUUCGCAAAUCGGCUAGAUGUUCCUCGUGGCUUUUGGACUUGACCACAACGUCAUCGAUAUAGAUCUCCACCAGGAGGCCAAUGAGUUUGUGAAAAAUGUAGUUCAUGGCUCUCUGAUACGUAGCACCAGCAUUCUUCAAGCCGAAAGUCAUUACCACCCACUCGAAUAAACCAAGAUGGCCUGGACAUCUGAAAGCCGUUUUGGGUAUGUCCUCUUCGGCCAUAAGUAUUUGAUUGUAUCCGGCGUUUCCAUCCAUGAAGCUAAUAAUUUUGUGUCCUGCGGCAGCGUCGAUCAGUACAUCGGCCGUAGGCAUGGGGUAACCAUCCAUCGGUGUGGCCUGAUUAAGAUUCCUGAAAUCAACGCAAACGCGCAGCUUCCCAUUUUUCUUGUACACUGGCACGAUAUUAGAAAUCCACUCGGCAUAACGACAUUGCCGAAUAAAUUUUGCUUCAAUUAGCCGAGUUAUUUCAGCUUUUAUGUCUGGUAAAAUUUUAGGAUUGCAUCGCCGUGCGGGUUGUUGGUACGGCCGAUACCCUGGCUUUAUGGGUAGCCGAUGUUCAACAAUAGAUCGAUCUAAUCUGGGCAUCUCGUGAUACUCCCAAGCAAAACAAUCCUUGAAUUCUCUUAAUAAAUUUGUCAAUUUACACUUAUACUCCGGAUCUAAAUUUGCACUAAUAAAAGUCGGCCUUGGUUUGGUCCCGUCACCUAAGUCUAUCAUCUCUAAUGAAUCGGCCGACGUGAAUCCGUGUCCCAGCUUCCCGUCUUCUCGGGCGAACUGAUCCAUCUAUUGCGCUUCUUCGGAGCCGACUGCUCGGAUCGGCUGUAGGCCAAAAUCGGUGACCUUCAGGAAAUCGGUUUCCCACACCCUACCUGAUAUGCAUCUGACGGUUUCGCAGCUCCAUUGCUGUGCGUCGGCUGCUGCGAUGCUGUACGCGGAGUCGGCUUUGACCACCUCGAUGUUAUCGCCGACCCAUUGUACAAGGCAUUGAUGCAUAGUUGACGGGAUGCAGCAAUUUGCGUGUAUCCAGUCUCGGCCAAGAAGCAUAUUAUAGGACCCUUUGCCAUUAAUGACGAAAAACGUGGUAGGAAGGGUCUUACUGCCGAUGGUGAGGUCGACGCAGAGGGCACCGCGAGCGUUUGACACUUUGCCUUCGAAGUCCUUGAGCAUCAUGUCCGUCCUGGUUAGGUCGUCGUCGCUCUUUCCCAACUUUCGGAGUACGGCAUACGGCAUGAUAUUGACGGCAGCUCCCCCGUCGACCAUCAAUCUAGUGAGGGGGCGACCGUCAACAUGCCCUUUAAGGAACAACGCCUUCAUAUGUUGUCGUUCGUCGUCUUCGGGCUUUUCGAAUGUGGCCAUCAUUGGUUCUAAAGCCAACCGUGCUGUUUGUUCCUCUAUCGCCGACACGUCCUGUUGAUCGGCAGGGGUCAUGAACUCCAUCGGCAAUAUGAAAACCAUACCGAUCUCGGCUGCCGAUUCAUCACCCGCCGACUCAUUGUUUCCCUUGUCGUUUCUUUUGGGGCGCCACACCCGAGGCCUCCCUUCCUUCUUGUCCAUCACGCUCUCUUCUUCUUGCUGUUCCCAUUGGCGGAGGCGUUGGAUUCUCCGUUUUUGUGAUUUGGUUAAACCAUCGGGGCACCAUCUGGGGUUUAUUGGCCUCCCUUCUUUCCCGGCGCGUUCCCAUUCUGGCUCGUGUCCUAACGGGUUCUCGUCCGUUACCCGAGCAUCGGCCAUGUCUUCGAGCCGGCUGUGAACGCUGGCUUUGCUACUUGAUUGAUCAUGUCGAUCGGCCCUGCCCCCCUGCCUAUUAUGGCUUCUAUCUUCUGACCGAUCAUAUCGGUCACUUCUGCCCCCCAGCCGAUCACGCAUGGGAGGGCGCUGCUCAUCUGGGUUGCGCCAAUUCCUGCUGAUCGGUUCUGGCCUUCCGUCUCUGGAGCGAGACCUGGUGAACGGCCGAUUGCCUCGAUAGGGACCGUUGCACUCCGGGCAAGUAUCGGCCGACGGUAGCCUGAGGUUAUUUUCCCAACAAUGCACGAAGAAUGGGCACCUCCAGUGCUCCUCGUGCCGACGCAUCGCUUCCUCUCGGGACCUCGAGCGUUCAUGUUGGCGUUGGUACUUUUGGAGCAGGAACUGGGAAGUAAUGCGUGGUCCUUCUGACUCACCAUCAUCGUCCUCCAUUCGUCGCUUUCCCUUGAUGUCUUCAGACGUAACUUGAUUUCUGGGAUCGACAGCGCCACUCUUUUUGGCCGACUCGGACGUCAGCACUUUUGUUUGGAGAGAAUUCUUUCCCGUGUCAGCCAUGUUGGUAGGAAAAGGGUGCUGGUCGAUUUUCAUUGGUUUGGCCGGUUUUGCCGGCACUUCAAAUUUGAGUCUGCCCUGCUCAAUGGCCGACUGUAUUUGUUGCCUGAAGAUUUUGCACUCGUUGGUAUCAUGUGAUGUGGCAUUGUGCCACUUGCAAUACUUCAUCUUCUUCAAUUGUUCGGCAGAGGGUAUUGUAUGGUAAGGCGAGAGUUUAAUCUGCCCUUCCUGGAGUAGAAGAUCGAAGAUUUUGUCAGCUUUAGUUGUAUCGAAACCAAAUGCUUCCGGCUCCUUCUUGCCGAAUGGGCAUGAUAUCGGCUUCUUUCCCUUAAUCCACUCUGCAAGUCCGAUUUCGGCAUCUUCCUCGUCCUCUAAUUCUUCCAGGAAUGCCACUUUCUUCUGGAAAUUCCUUCUAGGAUCGAACGGACGCACUUCCUGCCCGGACAAUCGGUGGACAAUCUGGCUCAGGCUCUCGAACUCUUGUGAAGCAUAUUUUUCUUUAAUGUGUGGCAGCAGGCCUUGGAAAGCUAUAUCGGCCAACUGUGCGUCGGUUAGAGCCAGGGAGUAGCAUUUGUUCCUGAUUUCCCGAAACCUCUGUAUAUACGAGGGUAUCGGCUCAUCACUUCUUUGCCGGAGGCUAGUCAAAUCGGACAGCUUCAUUUCAUGGACCCCAGCAUAGAAGUACUUGUGGAACUGCCUUUCUAGAUCGGCCCAUGUGAUAAUUGAGUUUGGUGGCAAAGUUGUGAACCACUGGAAGGCCGAUCCAGACAAGGAUGACGAGAACAACCGCACCCGCAGGGCGUCUUGCGUAGCUGCCUCCCCACAUUGAAUGAUGAAUCUAUUCACAUGUUCCACGGUAGAGGUGUCAUCCAUCCCCGAAAAUUUGGUAAAAUCAGGAACUUUGUACCGAUGAGGGAACGGCAACAUGUCAUAUGUAGAUGGGUAUGGUGUUCUAUAGGUAUAAGUUUGUACUUUCGGCUUCAAGCCGAAUUGUUCUUGCAUUACCUCUGCAAUCUGUGCCGACCAAUCUGGUUGUUGCUGGGGAACAGUUGGCUGCGGUAUCGGCACGUGCUGAUAAAUCGGAGGCUGAAUAAAAGGAGAUUGAUGAAAAGGUGGUAUCUGAGUGUAAGCUGGUGGUGUAGUAAAGGACGGCUGCUUGUAUGAACCACUUGUUUCAUCAUAUAGCAUGAGCUCCGACGUCUUGUUGACCUCCGGAGCGAUAGGCUGGUAUGGUGGUAUGAUCGGCCGAGUGGCCGUUUGGGAGGGUGUCUGGAACGGAGGAUUUCCUUGACUGACCGAUUGAUUCAAACCGGUCGUGUUUAAAGGUGCCCCCCAGGGUAAAGGGAUGACUGGAGGGAGUGGUGCAGAGGACGGUUGGAUAGAGCCAUAUCCCAAAGGAGUUGAUGACGCAGAAGCACCGGAUCCUCCGACAGAGGAUUGUAGCGGCUGUGAAGCCUGAUAAGCCUGAUUUGGUGGAAUCGGCUGAAAAUACGUUGGUCCCCUGUACCCUUGAGGUAUACCUCCGGCGAAGGAGUUGACAACAGCAUUGUGCACCAUGUUUGAGAGUACCGGGGAUUGGUUGAUGAAGGCGUGAUGAAGAGAUUGUUCAAUCAUAUCGGACAUUUUAUCCGAAUCUUCAGAAAUUGUGAUCUGACGGGGAGUAGGGAAAGGAGACUUUUUAACAGUUUCCCCGCUCCUGGAACGACUGAAGGAUUUCAAGCAAGUUUUCCGGACUUGCUCCAAAUACUUAUUCAGAUCUUCUUUUUGGUCGUCCUUUAGAUCUGCUUCCGUCACUUCGAUGACGUUAUCUUCGGAGACUUCAGCAGCUUUCGACAUGACAGCGGUUGUAUUGGUCCCACCGGGCGUGCUAAAAGUGUGUUGGCGCUAGAAAUCGGUCAACCGAAUCCCAGCGACUGACACACGACCCGGGAGAAUCUGCUUAGCUCCUGUUCGGGUAAAUGCCCUGGUGCGGUUCGCGCGGCGUGCCAGCCAAUCUGACCUGUUGAUUGGCAAGGAAGAACACGUGUCAAAUUCAGAAACUACGAUCGGCUAAGUUUCCGAUCGAGAGAAGCUUAAUCGGCAAAUCGGCCGAUUUACUGUGAUAAUGAAAUCGGCUAUAAGACAGCACGAUCCCUGUAGCCUUGUAGACAGAAAAAUACUAAAGUAAUCGGUACAAAGCUUGUGAUAACAGCACUAGGAAAAGAUCUAAUCGGCAAUGAAUGGAUCUAACGACAGAAGGUGAUGAAAGCCGAUACUACCGAUUCCUAGCGGGAUAACUGGUGAUAAAAACUAGGAAAACAGGUAAAAACCUAUGAAUCUAGUUGAUAUCGAUAACUGAUGAAUAAAUCUAAACGAAACAACAGCGAUGCACCGGAAGUUAAAGCUUAGAUAUUACUCGAUAAGCGGAACUUACAGAAUCAGCCGGAGAUCAAGAUGAUGCAGCCCUGCCAACCCGCACGAACUCGUGAGAAGAAAAAGUAAUGGCGAAGUCGCCUGCUCGAAAGUAAGUACGAAGAAGAAAGUAACUUGUUGUAUUGAUUGAUUGUUGUGUUUACAGAUUUACAAAGGUAGCUAUUUAUAGCCCUGUACAAAUAACCUUCUUAACUGACUAGAACUCUAUCUCUAAUUCAAACAGAAAACAAAUAUCUACAAGCACAACCCGUGCUAAACUAGUUACCCCACGCUUCGUGGGCUGACCUCCACCUUAUCCUUCCAUCUUUCCAAGCCCAUACAGGCCCAACUAGUCCAUCUUCCUGAUCGGCCGAUUUCUUAUCGGCAAAGGAUUGCCGAUUGGGAGUCUGGCGCAUUCACCCUGAAGCGAAGCAAAAGCUACCGGCCGAUUCCGCAUUAUAGCACCAUUUGACCGAUUCCCAACCGUACUUCUUCGACUUCUUUUCUCCUUGGCGCCGAUUCUACUGAUGACGAAAUCCGGCGUCAACAGAGGGCAUACUAACUUAAACUUUGUGAGGGAUCGUUCUACUUUUAACAUCACAGCAUGCAGAAAGUAAAACAUAAACAGAAUAGCAUUCACACAGUUGUGACACAGUAUGACCCGUUUUCUUAUGGUGAUCUCCAUCUCCAUAGAACCUGUUCACCAUGGUGAUCUCCAUCUCCAUGUUCCAUGUGCGCCAUCCUCCUGGUGAUGAGUCCUCCAAGAACUAGAGCAUGCUAUUACGCCUGAUAGCUAGUAAAAAAUCUAGUAAUGAAGAUUACAUAGUUGCUUGGAUCAUCACAGAUUGGUACGCAGAUCAUUAAAUACAAUAAAGUGACAACACAUAUGGCUCCUGCCGUGUUGCCGUAUGCGCGACACGCAGGUCACGAAUGAGUUACACACAUGCAUCACAUACACAAGGGGGCCAUACUGAUCACAAGAUAAAUACAUACAUCCUGCAAAAGAGAGUUAGGCGUCCUAACGUUCCAAACUUGGGAGGCCCGAAACUCCAUCUUCCAAGCCGAAUUUGGGAAAUCUAAUUUCGCCAAAAACAGCAAAGCCGUUGAAUUUCAUGUGUAACUUUUUCUGUAGAUCAAUUUUCGUAUAAAAAUCGCCUCGAUCCGAGAUCGUACCGAAAAGUUACAGCUGAUUUACCGAAGCAUACGCAUACGGCAAAAUCCCGACCCCGACAGUAGAUCACAUCUACUAUUGCACAUCUAAUGCGCCUGGCGUAUGACCCUGGAUCUCGAUUCGACCAAUCAUAUUGAUCUUCGCUCACUGCAACUGGAUUUACGUGUAUCACUUAACUCCGAUGGCGGAAACCGACCGGUAGGAGUAUGUCGUUACACUACCAUUGCAGCAAGGGCACGAAAUCAGGACAUAGAUCAAACAGAGAACUCGCAUAUCUCCAUAUGCACACAUCCCGAAUCCAAAACUAAGCAGCUACGGCUCUGAUACUACUGUUGCGAUACGAGGUAGGCUACACUAGCGUAAAUCAAAAUUUCUACCGCGUAUAACCAGGAAGAACUGCCGUAUAAGGAUCACGGGAUUACCACUCGACGCACUACUGGUGUGGAAGAUGUAGAUAUGCGUCGAUGCAGUGAAGACGAUCACGUAGUUGUACGUAGUCGAUCAACGUAGUCGUACGUAGUCGAUCACGUCCAGCAGCUCCUCAGCAGCUCGUCCACGUGCACAGCAAGAUCGCCUCCGGUACCGCGGCUCGUCGUCGGCUCGUCGUGGCUCGUCGGCGGCUCGUCCAAGUGCUGCAGGCGCAACACCUCCAAGGUAUCCACACGUGCAGGGAGGAAGCGUCGCAAGCCGGAUUGCUAGAUCCGCGAGUUGCAGCAGGCGAGGGCGUGGGAGGCGCGGCAGGUGUGUUUCGCCAAAAGGUGUAAACCCUAGGGCACCCCCACCCCUCUAUUUAUAGAGGUUCCUGAUGGGCCUCUGGAUCCGAGGCCCAUUAGUACUCCUAAACCUAAUCCAACUCGGAUCAGAUCCGAAUUGGGCUUCCAGCCCCUUAAGUGUGUGACCCUAUGGGUUCGAAUUCGUAUAGACAUGGCCCGAGUACUCCUACUCGGCCCAAUAGUCGGUAGCAGCCUCUAGCAAGACGUGACAACUCCUAUACGCAUACGAAGAUCAUAUCAGACGAACCAUCACAACAUAAUAUACAUGCUAUUCCCUUUGCCUCACGAUAUUUGGUCUAGCUUCAAGCCGACCGCUCUUUCUCGAUCCUGUGAUUCGGAAUCCCUUUGUAGGUUAACUCUUAACCGUACGUAGCAUGGCCAUGCAUUUUUCGGAUCCGGUCACUCGAGGGGCCCAGAGAUAUCACUCUCAAUCAGAGAGGGGCAAAUCCCUUCUUGAUUUGACCAUGUCUCAUAGCAUGCUUCUUGACAAACCCGAAAGCUACCUUUAUAACUACCCUGUUACGGCGUAGCGUUUGAUAGCCCCUAAGUAGGUCGAUCCACAUCUAGAAUACAUGCGACAAUCUCAGGUCUAAGGACAAAGCGUAUAUGUUGUUUAAAGAGAGAACUACUUCUCGUGUUGGGUCAGUCCUAACACAUGUCUCCACAUGUGUCCACAUUAUUAGUUCAACAUCUCCAUGUCCAUGACUUGUGAAACAUAGUCAUCAACUAAUACAUGUGCUAGUCUAAUAUUCAUGUGUGUCAUCACAUGAACUCCGACUAGGGACAACUUUAGAAUAACCAUACAAGUAAAGAGUUUCACAUACAAUUCACAUAAUUGCAAAUCAAUUCAAGUAGCCUUUAAUGGAUAUUCAAUGAACACAAUAUACAAAUCAUGGAUACAAAUGGAAUAUCAUCAUCUCUAUAAUUGCCUCUAGGGCAUACCUCCAACAGUCUCCCACUUGCACUAGAGUCAAUCUAGAAGGUACCUAAUACCCAUAGCUCUUACAUGCGCAUCAUGCUUAGCCUGCGGGAGUGGUUUUGUCAACGGAUCAGAAAUGUUCAGAUCCGUGUGUAUUUUGCAUAUCUUGAUCUCACCCCGGUUAACGAAGUCUCGAAUGAGAUGAAAUCGCCGCAUUACGUGUUUGUUCUUCUGGUGGUUCCUUGGCUCCUUUGCUUGCACAAUAGCCCCAUUGUUAUCACAGUAGAGAUUCAAUGGGUUGGACGCAUUCGGGAACACACCAAGCUCAAUGAGGAAAUUCCUUAUCCAAACACCUUCCUUCGCGGCUUCCGAAGCUGCGAUGUACUCGGCUUCUGUCGUAGAAUCGGCCACCGUCUCCUGCUUGGAACUCUUCCAACUAACAGCACCACCAUUUAGCGUGAACACAAAUCCUGAUUGUGACUUUGAAUCAUCUCUGUCGGUUUGGAAACUAGCAUCGGUGUAACCUGUUACAACGAGCUCUUCCUGACCUCCAUAGACGAGGAACAUAUCUUUAGUCCUUCUCAAGUACUUAAGAAUGUUUUUCACCGCUGUCCAGUGACUCUCACCUGGAUCAGAUUGGUGUCUGCUUGUCAUACUUAGCGCAUAUGAAACAUCUAGGCGAGUACUUAUCAUUGCAUACAUGAUAGAUCCAAUAGCCGAGGCAUAUGGCACUCUACUCAUGCGAUCCCGCUCAUCAGCAGUCGAAGGACACUGAGUCUUGCUGAGAUGUAUGCCAUGUGACAUAGGCAAGAACCCUUUCUUUGCCUCUUCCAUGCUGAACCGCUUCAACACUUUGUCAAUAUAAGUAUCUUGGCUCAGACCUAUAAGCCUUCUCGAUCUAUCUCUAUAGAUCUUAAUGCCCAGAAUAUAUGCCGCUUCCCCUAAGUCCUUCAUCGAAAAACUAUUUUUCAGUGAAGUCUUUACGGACUCAAGCAUAGGAAUGUUAUUUCCAAUCAGUAAUAUGUCAUCCACAUAUAAGAUUAGAAAUACUACAGAGCUCCCACUAACCUUCUUGUAAACACAAGACUCUUCUUCGUUCUUGGUGAAGUCAAACCCUUUGACCACUUCAUCAAAACGAAUGUUCCAACUCCUAGAUGCUUGCUUCAAUCCAUAAAUGGAUCUCUGAAGCUUGCAUACCUUUCCAGCAUUUUUCGGAUCGACAAACUAGAACUAUAUAUAGUAAAUAGGCACGGGCUAAAAGUAUUAUAUGAUUUUGAGCUAAAUAAAUAUAGGGUUGGGUUGUGAAGGAGAUAUGGAUCUCGUAGCCAUGAGUGAACAAAACAGAGAGCGCCACACAUCGAUUAAAAGGUGGGCCGAAACAGAUAAAAGAUAAAAAAGAAUCAUAUCGGCCCACAAUGAAAUGUUAAACAGAAGAACGCAAAUCUUGAAAACAUAUGGGUCGUUCAAAACCGACGGGCUAAUCUUUCUACGUGCUGGGCUGAUCCCAUGUGGGCCGAUACAGACACGUCAGGACAAGAAGACCCACCCGGCCAGGCCCAGACGCAGGAGACAAGAGAUUGAAGAGGAUAGAUCGAAUCAAUAGCCAACUCCUCUCGUCGUCCUCGUCUCCAAAUCGAGGCAUACCCCAAACCCUAGCCAUCCCCAAUCCGGCCGCCGCGUCUACCGAUCCGUUAGAUCCAUGGCCGCCGCCGCCGCCGCCGCUGCCGGCGACUCCGCUGUACCCAACUGGGUGAUGCUGGAGCGCUUGGCCUUCCGGAGGGACGACCCCGCCUCCUUCCGCGAGGACAGGAGGACCUUCGCUUCCGGCACCACCUCCGCCGGCACUCAAUUCGACGUCUCCUUCAUCCUCGCCGAGCCUCCCACCCCCUCGCGCCUCUACCUCUCGUGGCCGGAAGGGCCCAAGAAGGGGGGCCAGGGCCUGGUCAUGGCGGCCAACCGCAACCUCGUCCUCUUCAGGCUCGACUCCCUCGUCGACGAAUCCGAGCCUUUCGGGCAGGUAGUGCAUGAUUACUUCAUCUACAUAGCUAAUCCCUCCUCACAGCAGACACCCCUGCUCAGACGGCUGCCCCCCUGCACCGAGUACAACGU
rnacentral:lncRNA from 1 species